rnacentral:lncRNA from 1 species
CCCAAAUGGCCUAAGUACAGCCCUAAUCCAUGAGAUCACUUAUGGGGCCUCUAUCAACGUAUCGAUUUCCCCCUUAUGACAGUUCGCGCACUCGCAAGACUAUCGCAGCCAAACUUUCGGCUUUUCGGCAUUUCGAGAUUUGCCGAUCUAACGUGUGUGUAGUGUAUGUACACACCUUCGGCUUUAUAUCAAGCUAUCAUAGGGUAGAAGUACACACCUUAUCACCUGGAGUACUAAGUAUUCAUAAUCGCCCGAACCUAUAUUCAACAUUAUACUCCAUUAGUCACAUCCCAUUAAUUCAUAAUAAAUCCACUACUUAUCGAAGAACUACCUAUACUUGCCUUUAUUAGAUUGAUCGGCUGCGAUCUGCCUACGUAACUUGAAUCUGACGUAUUCCCCCUUCAAUAUCCAGGUGGAAAGUCCCUAACGGCUAACACCUUACGUCGCUUAAACUUGGGAGCCUCUACCCCAACUUCUCUGCUAAAACCCCCUUUUUCCAUCAACUAAUACUUAGCCAGCGAUCACACUCUUGAAUAAAAGGGAAAAAGAUAAAUAAAUGGAGAAACCAUAGGUUAAAGAAAGUAAUAGUAUUGGAAAGGAUAAAGAAAAUUUGACUUUUAAAAGUAUAGAAACGAAAGAACUCAGAAAUAUUUAACAAAAGCCGAAGAAGAACUAAUUCACUUACCGAUCGCGAGAUCGCUUGCCAACAAGAAAUCAACCCCCAAAGUGUAUGAAUCGACUCUUAAAUAAAAAAGAAGCAACCGGCUAAGUUAAAGAGGUAAGAGGUUGAUUUGAUUAAAAUAGGGAAGAAAAUAUCAAGAGUUUGGCUUAAAGGAAAGAGAAGAUGAAGGGUUUGAGAUUACUCAGGUAUUUGCAGAAAAAAAAAACAAAAGGGUCAAGAGGUUGGAAAAAAUUUCCCCCAGGAAUAUGCGACUAAAGCAUACAAAAACAACAAAUGUCCUUACUUGCCCAUACGACACACGUAUAUAUACUAAAAGAAAAAAAACAAACCUACACUCCCCAAUCGAAUUAAACUCGUCAAGUUAAAUUCCCUUCAAUUUCUCCAAUUUUAUCACCAUCAUAUCCAAACUUAAUCCUUAUCCUUAUCUCCAUCAUAACCUUAAUUUUAGCCCACAAUUGCAUUCAAAUUGCUUUCACCGAAUGGCAAUCCUUCGCGUUGUACAGCAAAAUUAAAUUCCCUUUUGCGCAUGAAACCACUCGAACUCCAGCCCUCUAACUUCCCAACACGCUGCUGGCCACUACACCACCACCUAUCUUGUGCUACCAUUCAAUCACAAUUAACUAUAAGAUGCCUAAGUCUCAGUUUCCUUAAAGAAUAAAAAUUUAAAACUUUGCCUGGCCUGAGAUUCGAACCUGCAACCUCUUAGAUCCAUAGCAUGCUCCUCGCCACUACCCCCUAGGCGCUCUUGUGCCAUAUUUCCACCAAACAUAUUUAUAAGGCCUAAACGCUAGCUUCCCUACUAAUCAUAUGCGCUAUAAAAAUUUUCGCCAAGGCCAGGACUUAAACCUUAGACUUCUUGCUUGCUACCAAAGCCUUUUGCCACUAGGCCAAGCGUUUCCUUGGGUUAAAUUUUAUAAGGCCUUAUUAAUAAGCCUUCCACCUAAUUUUACUAAAGCCCUGGAUCGAACCAGGACUUUUUCCACACUACCAACCCUUUCUAAAUCACUUAAAAAUUAAACUAACCAUGCAAUUAUAAAAUAUUUAAACACAUUUAAGUUAUUUAAGCCACCUUCUAAUCAAUCCCAAACUCAAGGCCCAUUACUUCUAGGCCCAAAAUUCAGGGUGUUAUAAGGUUUAUAUUCCUUAAUGAGCGGUUUUUGCUCGUUGUGGCUCACCUCAACCUUACCUUUACCUAUCACAUCUUUUUGUCUCGAUUUUGGUUUAUCUUCAACUAACCCUUCUUCAUCUCGAACAAUAAUCACAUGAAGUUACUCUCUUGGGUUAGUUUUGGUAUUACUCGGUAAGCUACCUUGUGGUCAUUCUGAAAUCAUCUUGGCAAGUUGACCAAUUUGAUUUUCAAGCCCUUGAAUCGACGCUUACUGAUUUUUUAGUACGGUUUCGGUGUUUUGGAAGCGAUUUUCUGACACCGAGAUAAAUUUCGUUAACAUCUCCUCAAGGUUCAACUUCUUUUCCUACUGGUAAGGUGGUUGUUGGAAACUUGGAAGGGGUUGCGGUUUUGAUGUCCUUGACCACCCCACAAGAAAUUGGGAUGGUUCCUCCAAACUGCAUUAUAAGUGUUACUAUAUUGAUUAUUCUGAGGUUUAAAAUUAUUACCCAUAUAGUGGAUCUGUUCGUUCUCUAUGCUAGGGUUGUAGGAUGGAUAUUCUAUGUUAUUCAUUCAUCCUCCAUUCGCAUCGCACUGCAUUAUCGGAUGUACCUGCGUAGAAAUACAUGAACCAUCAAUCUUUUUAUUUAAGAGCUUUACCUUGUUUGAUAACAUGGUGACCGCGUUGAGGUUGAAAACACCGGAUGCUUUAUUAGGCUUUGUCCUCAUGACUUGCUACUGAUAGUUAUUCAGUGACAUCUCCUCUAUGAACUCAUAAGCCUCCUCAGGUGUUUUAUUAUUUAUGGUACCACCGGCGGCUGCAUCGAUCAUCUGCCUCGUUGAGGGGUUCAAACAUUAUGAAAAGUUUGAACCUGUAACCAUAGAGAUAACCCAUGAUAAGGGCACCUUCUCAAUAAGUCCUUAUACCUCUCCCAUACAUCAUAUAAAGUCUCUAAAUCUAUUUGCACGAAGGACAAGAUAUACUUCCUCAACUUAGCGAUCUUAGUUGGCGGAAAGUAUUUCAAUAAAAACUUAUCGGUCAUUUGAUCCCAAGUAGUGAUGGACCCUCGUGGUAAGGAGUUCAAUCACUGCUUAGCCUUAUUUCUCAACGAGAAGGGGAAUAAUCGUAGGCGAAUAGCGUCGUCAGAAACGCCAUUUAUCUUGAAAGUAUCACAGAACUCUAAGAAAUUGACCAAAUGAGUAUUUGGGUCUUUAUCCUGCAAACCAUCAAACUGAACAAAUUGUUGAAUCAUUUGUAUAGUGUUAGGUUUCAGUUCAAAAUUAUUUGCAGCAAUGGCAGGUCUAACAAUACUCGAUUCAGCCCUAGUGAGAGUGGGCUUAGCACAGCCGUACAUAUUACGAGGAGCAGGAUUCUGAUUUACAGGAUUAGCGGCAACCACAGGAGGUAGCAAAUUAUUUUGAUUUUCAGCCAUCUCCUCGGUAUCAUUGGUAUCAUCCUCGUGCUCUUCCUCUAUAUACUGUAGACUUCACCUUAUUUCUCUACGAUUUCUGUGAGCUGUGCUUUCAAUUUCGCUGUAAAAAAGCAAUGGUCCUAACGGAUUUCUUCUUGUCAUAAACUGAAGAAACCUGCCAGAAGCAAAUAAAGAUAAGUUAGUAAAUUAAAAUAAAAACAAAAAUAAAUUGCAAUAAAAAUAAAAAUGGCUAAGGUAAUAAAAAUUAAGUGUUCCUAAUAUUUUAGUCCCGGCAACGGCGUCAAAAACUUGAUGAUCGUUUUAUUGAUUUACUAAACUAGACUACGAUCACACACUCAGUAAUAGGUGAAAGCUUGCUAAAUAAAUAUAAACAACACAUCAUAACAAUAUGAACUACACUCUACUAUCAUGUUAAACAUGCAACAUAAAACUUGAUAAUAGGUGAAAAAGGCUCAACCACUUAAAUUGGAGUAGGAUAACACCAUUUUAUCACUUUUGUGUGAUUUAGACAAUAUAGACUAUCUUGCUUCAAAAACAAGUGUUUUUUACAUGAGUAUGAACACGAUAUAAAUAUAUUCAAGAUUAUACUCCCACGCUAGUAUAUCAAUAUAUCUAUAUUAUAUCAAAAGCAACUCACCAACUAUUUAUUUCUAAAUUUAAACCCGAAAUUUUGAAAAAGUGUUGGUACCCUCAAAAUUAUCAUAAGGAUGUGUAUAGAAUUUGCUCGAUUUAUUUAAAAAUGUUCUUUUGGUAGUACUACUUGGAGAGGAUUAUUAAGGUACGUAUGUCUUAAAACGAUAAUAAAGCCAUGGAUUAUCAUUUUUUUCGUGAUCUUUUGACGUCUAAACAGACGGACAAGUUUGUAAAAAUUGCUGUUUUAGACAAAUAUUCUCCACUUUAAUUGGUGUUAUACCAUCCAUGAAUUUCUGGUUGGAAAUGGAAAUAUGACAUAAUGACAAUCAAGCCAAAGUUAUUGUCGAGUCAGCCUACUGGGAAUAUAUGCAAUUUUAGGCAUAUUAUAGCCAUAAUAUAUAAAGCCAGGGGAAUGAGUAGACUAGCUAGAUAGGGAAUUCAAACAAUUUUUAAUAAUUGUAAUUCCGGUCAAAUUGAACCAAUUCGAAGUAUAAAAAAUAUUCAAAAUCCGAACCUAACCAACCAAUCAAAAUCAGUAAAUAACCCAUCCUUGAAUAGGGGUAGACGUGAACCUUAAACAAACUUCUAUAUAUAUAGUGUUUUCCAUCUAAAAUUUUGCAUGACAUGCUUCAAUUGCUUUAUUUUUUCUUUCUCCAUCUCUGGCCAUAACUUGUUAGUUUUGGUACUGAAUAACUAGAAGAGUUAGGUUUCAAUCAAUACCUUCUUCAAAUAAAAACAAUUAAUAUUGUUAGAAUCAAAUUGAAUUGUUUAAUUAAAUCGAAAAUUGAUGAUCAGUUAAGUUUAACUGAUAGUAUAUAAUUGAAAAUAGAGCAAAUCCCUGUAAAUUCGUAAAAAAAUAAAAUAAAAAUUAAGACAAAAUUUUGGUGGUUCAACCUAUUUUAAUUCUUUUCAUUAAUUUUUUUAUUUAAUUAUUAUUAAACCAAUUGAAUCAUUAAUUAACAACCUAACCAAUUACAUGAUUAUAUAUUUUUUACAAUAAGGAGGAAAUUUUCCAAGUACCUAUCCAAAUGAAUCUUGAAUUAGGCUUGGUAGAGUCGAGGCUGCAAUUAAUAUAUAUUAAUUAAAUUUAAAUGAAUUAGCUAUAUUUACUAUAAAACUCUCAUCCCAAUUUGUCUCUUUAAGAUGAUAGCUAAUAGUAUAUAUAUUUUUUCAUACUUUUAUAUAACAAUUAAAAAUUACAUAGCUAUCAAUUAAUUUUAACUGGAUUGAUAUGUAAAUUGUUGCCGAUAAAAAAAUAUGAGUUUAAGUACGUUGAAACGCAUUAUCUUCAUACUUAUAAAUUAGAAAGGAGUUAUAAUUUUUAUUAUUAGUGGUUUGCUCCACCUUCAACGAAAUUUUAUCCUUUUGAAUAUUCUUCUAAUUGAGAAAUAUCUCAUCAUUCAUGGUUGAAAUGUUUUUUCCUUUAAAAUUGCAAAAGGAUUACUCGAAUCCAAUUCUUUCAAACAAUAAAUCGAUUUUAAGCAGUUGUUUUUUAAAAAAAAAUUAAAAGAAAACAGUGAACAGCUAUACGAGUUGCUGCCAACCAACAAAGUUCAAUGUUAAUUUUCUUCCCUUUUUCUGCAAUUUGUACCUUACAGGCAAUAAACAUCAUCUAAUUUAGAUAUAUUUUCUUAACCUAUAAGAUCUCAUUCCAUUGUACAGAACUGCCUCAUUGAAAAACACUUACAAAUUCUGGGUUUAGUUUCUGUUUGUUUCCCCGGAAAAAAAAUACUUGAAUUUUCAAGGUUGAUCAUAGUUGGAAUCAUUCAAAGCCAAAAACCAGAUUGGUCAGGCCUGUUUUACUAUUGUUUUACUUAUGAAUUUGGAAACUGAAAAGAAGGUAAAUUAUAAGAGUCAGAACAUGCAUGCAUGCAAUUGUUUAUUUACUUACUUACUGAAGAAUUUUUAAUCAAAUAUUAUCUAUAUAUAUAUUUAAAGGUUAAGAAUAAGAAUAAAAUCGAGAUCAUAAAAAGAUUCAAUUCUGAUUUUAUUUGUACUGAUAAUUUUUGGGUAGAUGACAGAAAACUCACUAAAAACCAGCAAUGUCACGUUCAUGCUAUAUUAUCCGAACAUUUAUGAUGUUACAAUCAUUCAAAUAUAUGAAAAAACUGACGUAUACGUAUAUUUAAUAUUCCCCUUCGAACUCGAAUAAACAUAGGGUUUGAUAAGCUUGCAUGCCUACGCAAAUUGAAGCAGAUAUUGACAACAAGUUCAUAAAUCUAGCAUAAUGAAUCAAAGAAUCAGGCAUAUCUUGAUUAGAACAUGAAGCAAAUUGAUGUAAGAAUUGUUUGAAAACCAACCAUCGGUUUAUGUUUUUUUUUUAAAUUUAUUUCCAAUGCUUGGUAUUAAAUCAGUUGUCAUGAAUUAUUCGAAACAAAAGAAUUUUCAUAAAGAAUAUGGGAAAUUAUUCUUUGAUUUUUUUUUUAAAGACAUUCAUGAAGGGAAUUAACAGAAUUUAACAUGGAAUUUUUUUCAAUCAAGAACAUGAUACUGACAACAACAUGGCAACAGUAAUGGAGAUUAAAAGAACAAUGCACAUCAUCACUUUUUUCAUGUGUGUACUUAUAUACUCAGUUUUGCUUCUUCAGUUUGUUAAGAAAGUUGAAACAGAGGGAAAAGAAAAAAACACCGGCGACGGCAAAACAAUGGCAGACAAAUCCGGUUCCUCGUAUUCGGACAUGUACCGGAGGUUCAAGCCUCAUAUACUUAUGGUGCUUAGCCAGUUUGGUUACACUUUCCUAUAUAGUUUCACUGAAGCUUGCUUUAAUCAUGGAAUGAACCCUCAUGUCCACAUUACGUACCGACAUGUUGUAGCCGGCAUCGUCAUGUUCCCUUUCGCCUAUUUUCUGGAAAGGUAAGUUACUAUUUUACGUUGUUCUAAUAAAACGCAACGGGUCAGCCAUACUCUGCACCAAUCUUUUAUCAAAGUGUUUGGAAUAUUCAAGUCUUUUUUUUUCUUUUUCUUUUUUUUUUUCUUUUUUCCUUUUGGUGCAGAAAAAAGAGGCCAAAGCUGACUUUUGCCCUUUUUCUAGAGAUAUUUGUUCUCUCCAUCUUAGGGUACGUAUUUUUCAUUUUUCUUUUUAAGUAGCGAUGUUCGACUAACAUGAAAACAACCUAAACUUGUGUUUUGUUGGAUUCCGACAGGGUGAGUUUGACCCUCAACAUGUAUUUCGUGAGCUUAAGAUACACUUCACCAACAUUCCUUGCAGCACUGGUGAAUACCAUAGCUUCAUUGACGUUCAUAAUCGCAGUUGUUUUCAGGUUAGAUAUCGAUUUCGAAUUCCAUCCAUAAAUUAGCAAAAUCUUCCAUGAGGGCCAUGAAUAUUCAACUUUUAUUACAGAUUGGAGGUCGUUAAUCUUCGGAAUCCACGAGGAAUAGCCAAAGUUAUCGGAACUUUUGUCUCCUUGGUCGGUGUAACAACGAUGACAUUAUACAAGGGUCCUGCAGUAAAAAACCUAGGGCCUCCUCUUGUUCAAAUUCAAGGCAAAUCCCCCAUUCAUGAGAAUUGGUUGAAGGGUUCAAUUCUCAUUGUUGCAAGCUGCUUAACUUGGUCUAUAUUAUACAUCAUGCAGGUAAAAAAAAAAAAACUUAAAACCCCAGAUUAAAACAUACAUAUACUAAAUCACUAUGCUUAUGAUGUUCUAAAAUAAUUUGUAGGCAUUUACACUGAAACGAUAUCCAGCACCACUGUCAUUAACGACAUGGAUGAGCUUUGUUGGAGCAGCACAAUCAGCUGUUUUCACUGUCAUUGUGAACCAUAAACCAGCUUCUUGGAAAAUGGGGUUCAAUAUUGACUUCUGGGCUACUUUAUAUGCUGUAAGAAUCCCAAAAAGGGUCAUGUUUUUCUUUUUCUUAAUGUAAAGUUCUAACAUUGAAUCAUGCAUGACAGGGAGUGGUGUGUUCUGGUCUGAUUAUCUUUAUUCAACUGUGGUGCACCGAAGUGAAAGGACCUGUUUUUGUGACCAUGUUCAAUCCACUUUCAACGUUAUUGGUGGCACUUCUUGGGUAUUUCGUCCUUGGUGAAAGGCUUUAUAUGGGCAGCAUAUUAGGGGGAGCUAUUGUGAUAAUUGGACUGUAUUUGGUGCUGUGGGGAAAAGAUCGUGACCAGGAAGCUCAAAUUGGCACGGCAGAGCUGCCUUACUUGGCUUAUGACCACAAAAACGAUACUAAAGCACAUAAAAUCCUUUCAGUUGAAAGGGAAGCACCGCCAUCCGAACCUUGAAGACCAGCAUAUUUUGAUUACAACAAAACAUCCCAGAAAUUAUAUAAAAAAAUGGGAGAAGAUAAGAGCAAAAAAAGGGAUAGAAAAAGCUUAGAGGAAACAAGUACAUUUAUGGAUCUUAGAUAGUUUUAAAUGCAUAUCUGUAAAUUAAUGUUCUAAAUUGGAGCCUGCCUGCUUCAUCUAUGUUUCUUUUCUGGUUGAAAUAUGAAAAUCUGCCAUUGCUUUAAUAGCCAGUGUUCAAAACUAACACAAACUGUUGACUAACAUUUUUGGACAAUUAGCAUGAAUUUGGAUACCCCCAGCACUGAAAAUUCUCUUCAGAUAAGAAAGUUCCAGGUUAAAAGUUCAAUAUUAUGAAGCAAAAGCUGCCACUAAUGUUCAGAUUCCCGGCAACAGCCAUUAGAGACACAGAUUUCAAUGGAAUCAUUUACUACCACCCAGCUAUCCAUUAACCAAUGGCUGAAUUUUCAGAAUGUGACAAUCCAUCUUCCAAAGGAAUGUUUUGAGUUGCAGGAAAAAGCCUCAAACUGGCUCUAAAUUUUUAGGUUAUUUUCAAAAUAGUCUUAAACAUUUACUAAAGUAUUUAAAUUAAGGCCAAAUCUUUCAAAAAUGAUAAAUAAGAGUAAAAUCUUUUCAAAAAUGCUCAAAUAAGAGUUUAUAUCAAAUUUCAAAUUAUAUUUUUAUUACAUUAUUUUAUUUUGAAACAAUAUCCGAUUCAACUGUGUUUUUAUUCUAAACAUGUUAAUAUUUACCUAAUUUUUUCUAUAAAAUGGACUAAAAUGCAUGAAAAACCUUUAUUCUGAGUAUUUUUGCUAGAAGUUAAAAAUCCAUAAAUUGUUUUGUUGAAGACAAUUUGAUAUAGGACCAUUUAUUGGGCCUACAUGGUGUAGUCCAUUAGGCUUGUUCUGUUAAUUACAAUUGUACCUCACAACUCGAAAGGGUCAGAUUACUCAUCCAGAGCUUAAUAUGCUUGGAUCGAGCUUUAAAUUUAGGUUGUUUUAGCUUAUGCAAGUUUGUAAUUUAAUAAUAAAAAAUAUUUAUUAAUCAAAUAGUGAAAAUGGGUUUUACAAGUCAAUCUAGGUUUGACUCAAAUGAAUUUGUACCAACGAAUUUUAAAAGUUUCAGACGGCAGCUCAAUCCAUAAACAUAUAUUUGGUCACAACCAUGGUUGAAAAUUUGAUUAAUCUUUCAUUAAAAUACUGAUAAAUAACAAUAAAUACAUAAGCAUGGCACAUAAUAUUUAUAUUUUCUCACGUUGAUAUCUCCGUCUCUCAACUAUUAGUGAAUUACAAUCAAUGAUGACGUAAAUCAAAAUUUUAUCUUUUUUGAGGUCAAAUGUAUCGUAUAACUUAAAAUUUUAGGUUUAAAUAAUACUUAGUAUCUGAACUUGAUAAAACUUUUUUGGCCUAAUUUAGUACCUGAACUUUACACUUUUUCCUAUUUUGGUACUUAAGUUCUUUUUUAGGUUCAAUUUAGUACCUAAAUUUAUUAAAUAUUAUACAAAUUACGCAAAACACUAAUGGUAUUUUUUUUUGUUAUGCUACAAAAAUAUUGUCAGUAUUAGAGGAAAUUCAUGUUAAAAAAUAGGUAUUGAGCUAUGUUUAACAAAUUAAUAUUAAAUAAGGAAAAAAGAUUUUUUAAAACCCCAAGUUAAAAGAAAUUCAUAAAUUUCAAUUAAUAAAAAAUUAAAUAAAUAAAUAACACUAACAGUAUUGAACAUACAAAAUACAAAAAAAUAUCGUAUCAUCUAUCACAUUUCAAUCAUACAUUGACUAUUUUUACUACCCCAUAAAAAAAUAACAUUGGUAGUAUAUUGGAGUAAUUUGUAAAACAUUUGACAAGUACCAAAUAGAACAAAAAAAAAUAGGUACCAAAUUAGGAAAAAGAGUCAAGUUCAGGUGCCAAAUUGGACCCCCCAAAAGUUUAAGUACCAACUUAAGAAAAAGUGUCAAGUUUAGGUAUCAAAUUAAGAAAAAGUGUCAAGUUUGGGUACCAAAUUAGACCAAAAAAAAGUUUAGGUACCAAAUUAGGAAAAGGUGUCAAUUUAGAUACCAAAUGUUAUAUUAAACUAAAAUUUUAUAGAUUGUACCAGCACCUUGACCCUAGCACUAUUAUGAUUUUUUUAAAGAAACUAAACCGAUUUAGGAAUAAAGGAUUUAUUUCUAUACUGUAAAAUAAAACAAAAUCUGAUUAAAUAAGAUUUUUGGAGAGGAAGAUGGGCUAAAGGGUUUUGUGCUGAAGACAGUCAAGGGCUUGCAAAAUAAAAGGUGUCUUGGUAUUCUAGGCUGCAUGAGAGUACGUGAAAACUUGAGGCUUAACUGUUCUUUGCUCAUGAUUGGUGGAGGUUAAUGUCCUUUCUAGCAGAGCUGCUCAUGCCCCUUGAUCAUUGGCAGGUAUUAUUAUCGAUUCUUGAUAGAGAUUUAUUAAUUACCCAUCAUGUGACAACCAGUUAUUAUGACAUUUUCUCCUUUUAGGUUAAGUGCUUGCUUGGAUUUGGUGAAUAUUCUUUGAGGACUGAUCCCUCCAACAUAACAAGUUUUGUUCAUAUAAUUGAUCAAAUUCUAAAAGGUAGAUUUUAGAGACCCAAAAAUUUAGUGUAGGCAAAGAAGAAAUAGGACCAUUACCAAAUACCAACCAAGGCCAAACCCUAUAUUCUUUAUUCAACAACCACAACAUUAUUGACACUAGAAGUUGAUAAACUUUUUUCUUUUAUUCUCUCAAUUGGAAAACACCCCACCAAAAUCAAUUGAAUGGGACCUCUCUCCUUCCUUCUACCUCUACCUCUUCCUUUUUAUUUUUUUUAGUCUUUUGUCUCUUAUCUCAAAGCAAAUAUGAGACAAAUAAUGGAUCCAAUCAAGCAAAAAAGAUUAAAAAAUUAACAAAAGAAGAAGGCAAAUGUUCAUCACUGUCUAAUAAUAUUGAUUAAAGUGAUGAUAAAAGGAACAUAAAACUAUAAUUAAUGAAGUGUGUUUUUAGAUAAUAAUUACAUAAUCUUUAAUCAACUGCUUGUUUAAGCAAUAAGUAAUGAUGUCCAUAAUCAUGGCUUUGAGUCAUUUAAGAACAUAAUGGACCAGCUCCAUAUGACAAGUCAUUAUAAUUUAUAAACCCAGAAACAGAUCCAAAUAAAAUCAUCAUUUUCUUUUUCUAUUUUUGAAUUCCAUUCUUUAAUCUGUUUUUUAAAUCAUUAAACAUUGCCAUUAAAUUACUAAUCUGAAAAUUAAUCAUUCAGCAAUUUAUAUGUAAUGAAUAAGCAAAAGUCAAACAAUAAAAUAUGUAGGAAAUAAUUUCUAAUAAAUUAAAAUAAAUAAACUAAAUUUUCAAUUCUCAUAAAAUAAAAAUAAAUAAAUUCACAAUUAAUUUUUUUUUCCAAUUUCAAUUCUAUGUCACAAAUUUACUCAUCUAGUAAUACAUGAAAAAAAAAUCUCAAAAUUGUAAAAAAAAAAAAAAAAACCCUAAAACUGUAGUUUUUUAUGUCUCCAAAUAAACAGGUAAAAUUGCAUUUUUAGACCCUCUACCAUGACUAAAAGAGAAGAAAGACCUUCUCAUCACUCUGCUACUGCAACCUUCAAUGGGGCUAAUACCCUCAUUCACUUCCCUUUUCUGUCUUAUAGCUUCUUGAACAGCUAAAUAUAGCUGCCGAUCUGCUGAUGAAUCCAUUGAAAUCGACCUCCUUAUUGGUUGAAUCCCAAACUCUGCACCUUUGUUUCUACUAUCAAUCCAUUCAUCCCCCAUGCUUGUCCCUUUAUGCAACUUCCUUCCUCGUUUCUCCACAUCCUUGAGCUCCAUAGGUGAACCACUAAUUGACUCAUCGCUUGAACUACGGUUAUUAUUAUCACCUAGUUCAAUCACCACAUAAUCUUCAUCACCACCAUUACUGAUUGGAUCUUGUGGAGCUAAGCUUUGUGCAUUGAUGGUACUACUCGAAAUACUCGUUCUGCAAAGUGGGCAAUUCGCAUUGUUUUGAAGCCAAACGUCAAUGCAGUCUAUAUGAAAAACAUGGCUGCAAUUUGGUAUCAUCCUUAGCUUCUCGUCUUCUUGAAACUCAUUCAAACAAACAGCACAUUCACAAAGGGUCUUUUCAUCGAUGUUCCCAUUGUUUUUCUUGAAUUGGAAUAUUGGGAUUGAUCUUAUCAACGAUUCAUCUAACCCUCUAUGUUCCAUUGCUGGAGAGUAAGGCGUUAUUGGGUCUUCGGGUCGUCUUCUAGAUAAUGAAAAUUGUCUUAGAAGAUCAAUCCUGUGCCAAUUCAGACAGCAUUUGAUGACGAAGAUGUAGUAGCUUACUAACAAGAAACCAGUGGCUAAAAUCCCUAUUACAGCUAUAGCUAUAAUGGGGAAACUUGGCUCUGAUGAAUGUAAAUGAGGAGGAGGACCAGAUGUGAUAUUUGGUGAAAGUGCUUGUGAGCUUUUCCUUACAAGAUCCAUGAAAGAUUAAAAACCCAGUACUGUUUUGCAGAAACUAGAAAUGGGUAUUUGAUGAAAUGAAGAAAGAAUCAAAGAAAAAUGGAGGGAAAAAAACACAGGUAGGGGGACAAUAAAUGAAGGAGAUGUCAAAAUUAGGGGGAUUCAAAGGAAAAAGGCUAUGAAUAUGAUACCAAUUUAUAAAGUGAACAAAAAAAAAAAGGAGAAAUCUUUAUUUGUAGUUGUACAUAAUUUGGUGAGUUUUUUUCUUUCAGAUUUUCCACCAGCAAUUUGGCUGCUAAUAUUAAAAAAAAAAAUUUGUUGCAGACUUCAGUGUCCCCAUUAUUGUGCCUUUAUAUAUAUAUAAACAUGAUUUUAUUAAUUAAAUAAAGGUAUAAAAAAUUGGGUGGGGGGAUUGAAUGGGUUGGCUCAGCAUAAUGAAUGAUAGGGGUGGCUUCAAAUAAACGUAGGAAUGAAAAAGUGUGGGGGCACCAAGCAUUUGAUGUUCAUAUUUGACGAUUUGAAGUUUAAACUUAAAAAAUGUGGUAAAUAGUGUUAAUUAAUAGUACAAUUUUAAACAAUAUAUUUACUCUUUUUGACAAAAUGUGUAAGAUUAUCCAUAACUCUUCUUCAACUCAUAAAUAAGAGAUAAUGUGUUUUAACACAUUUGAGCUCACAUUCUCCUGCAUUGAUAAUAAUACUCAUGUCAAUCGAACUAAAACUUAAAAAACCACCUUUUAAAAGUACCAAUUGAAUUGAGUGAAAAAGACGAAACACUAAGCCUUAACAUAUGCAUAUUAUUUCAAAUUACCUCAGGUGGUUGGGAAAAUUGAUUUAACAAUUUUUCUUUAAAUUUAAACAAGUCAUGCUUUAAAUUGAUUUAACAUUUUUUCCUACCAAAUUGUAAAUUGCAAAAAACAUGGAAAAGCUAGAAAGAAAAUUUUAAUUAUAAAUUUUGAAAAAUCUAAAAAAUAAUAUUAUCACUUAACUUACAAUUUUAUAAUUUUAAAUUUACCAUAUAUUUUUGGAUCCCACGUAUAUAUAUUGUUUAGAUAAAUGGUAGUUGAACGAGAUUAAUAUACCUUUCAAUAUGAAACAACCUACAAGCAAUUAUAUAAAUUCUAAACCUAAUCUAAAGUACAAACAAUUAAUUGGAAUCAAUGCAAUUAAGGUUGGCUAAUUUCAAUUGCUUGCCCUUCUUUUCUUUUUCCAAUCAUCAUCAAUCAUAAAGCAAAACCAAAGGUCUCAAAGUCACAUGCAACCAUCAUUUUUCUUUUUAAUUUUGCCUUUGCCUGCUAUUUUUGUUUACUAAUUUAUUGAUUACCUUUCACAUCUGCUUUUUUUUUUCUUUUUCUUUUUUUUUGUUAAAUCCAUUUACACUUCCAUCCUAUUUAUUUAAUUUAUUUUUAUUUUAAGGAAUUUAGACAUUGUAUUUUACAGAUUUUAAAUUUAAGUCUUAAUUAUUAAUGAAAAGUGUAUUUAAUCCUUUUACCUUUAAUUUUUUUAAAUGAAUUAUAAUAACAGAAAACAAAGUUUAAAUAAUAAACGCAAUUAACGUAGCUAAAAUUUAAGGUACACUUCAGGUGAUAAAUACCUUAACUAUCAGACUAUCAAGUUCAUUUAACCUUAAUUCUUUCAUUACAAACUAAAAAAAAAGGUUUAGAAUCUAAUUUUUUAAAAGAAUCCACAUUUAUGGCUAAUUUGAUCAAAUAUGAGAUAAUAUUUUGAAGUGGAUCGUUGAUCUUCAUCACUCCCAAAAAGCUAUAUCUUUUAACUAAUAAAGUCAAAUUUGUAUAACAACGCUCCAAACCCAAGGCAGAAGGAAGGUCCACAAAUUUUAUUUAUUAUUUUGAAAAAACCGACACUCUCCAUAUUUGUCAUGUUGACAAAGCGUAUACAAAGACAACCCCUUUUCUUAUGUAAGAAAAACAGUCUUUGUAUAUUUUGAAAAUAGGCAUUUUCCAUUUAUUUUAGUCAAAGGUGGUGUGCUCUUUUACAAAAGAAACUUCUUCCAUUACAACAAAAAAUUUCUAGUCUGUGAUGACUUUUUGGUUCACAUCAUUGUCAUGGAGUUUGUAGUUAAUUCCUAGUGAGCCUUUAAAUGGUUUAAAACCUUCUUUAAUUUGCUCAAGAAAAGAAUUUAUUUUCUCCUUAUUAAUUACUAAAUAAGUAAGGGCAGUUGAAGGGUGGGUGUGAAUUGUUAAACUAGCUUAGCUAGAAUAGAACCCAAUGUUGAUUCAUGCUAAUUUCUUUCUUUUUUUUCUAGUAAUGUUUUGGAGAAAAUGAUUAUUUUAAUAAGGGGCAAAGGGAGUUGGGUAAGCAGAGCCUAAUCUCCUUAAAAUAGAGAAUUAUGUUGUUGAAAUGAUAAAAUUUUAAUUUAGCCAUUUUAAAAACUAUAAACAUAGAGCUCAAUACAAUGAUGAAAUUGCAUUUUAGCUCUCAUAAAAAUAUAUAACUCGAUAUUGAUCUCCAGAAUUUUUUUUGACUUUAUCCCUGAUUUUGAUAGAUCAUGGUUUAAUGCCAUCUGCCAACUGCUUAAAAGAGUAAAUAGUUAAAGUUUUUUCUCGGCACCUCAAGGAUCAACGUUCAAAUUUUGCUAUUUGCAUCUUGUCUUCAUUCUCCAUAAAAUGUAUGACCAAUAUGUGGUUGAAAGAAGCGAAACUUCUUUCUCAAUCAUAUAGGGUAUUGUGUGGUCUUCCUUUGACAUUCUCAUCUUGGAGGUUGUAUAAGAUUGUUAUGACUUGAUGGUCCCUUAAUGGUUUGCAUGAGGGUGCAUAGUGGGCUUUCUCCAAGCUAGUUCAGGUAGGGUGCAUGAGAGGUCACUUGUGGGUUGUCCUAAGUUAAGGGUUGCUACAGACGAUUUCUAGUGAAGGGUUCUAUACAGGUUGCUUCUAGCAAAGGGUCGUUUGUAGGUUGCUUCAUGUCUUGCUUCAUCUUGUUGCCAAGGUGGGGGGUAUAACAAGUUCAAAACUUGAAGUAAUCACUAUUAAAAGAGUUUUACAUGAAUACCAUUCCAAUUCAAAUAAGAUUAAUAUCAUAUCAUAAAACGGAUAAAAACACAUAUAAUUAUAAAAAUAUGUAUAAAAAAGUUUCAUUCAAAUUUCAAAUCCCUAUUUUUGUUUCAACUGCAAGAGGUGAAGCUUUUAAUUACAUGCCCUAAUAAAGAUUUAACUAAAUUUCUAAAUUCAUUUGAAUUUGAUUAUGAGAAAAAAAUAAUUCAAAUAAACCUAACACAAAUUUAAAAUUUUACAAUUUGAUGUUAAAGAAUUCAGUUUGAAAUAAUCAAAUUCAAAACAUUAAUGUAAGAUUAUUGAAGAUGAUAUUAUUGAGAGACAACCACAAACCUCAAAAAAUUAAUUUUCAUGAACUAUAAAACGAACAUCGAAGAUUCAUUAAUUCUACCAAAUAAAUCAAGAUUAUUUGAUUCGAAGAACACUUAAAAACUACUUAAGUCAUGAGGUGAGGUGUGGUGUGGUGGCUAUUCACCUCAUUCCUUACGGCAAGUUUAGCAUUGUUGAGGCACUUUUGGGACAAAAAAUUAGUUAAAAAUAUUAUUAAACAAGAUGCUUUUGAGCUUUAAGUACUUUUGAGACAAAAAAUACUUUACAGAAACUUUUUUUUAACCAUAAGCAGAAGCAUAAAUUUUUUAUUUUUGCUCAAAAGUGUUUUGGAGUAACAUUUUUAAGAAGCAAUACUAAACAAAAUCUUAAUCAUGUGAUCGAAAAUUCAAUUCUCCUAAUUGAUAAUAUUACCUUAAUUACUAUAAUGUAAUAAAAAAAUUACUUUAAAGUUGUGAAACCCAAACUUACUUACCCAAUUACCACUUUUAAUUUUAAAUAAUUAUAAAAAUCCAUAAUUUCUAAAAAAAUUCUAUCUUGAAUUUUUUGUUUGCUAAAAUUGAGUGUAGGGUUCCCUUAACAUAGGCUCUAAAAUUCACUUCCUUUUUUAAUUACUUACCAGCAUAUAAAAAAUUAUGGGUAUACAAACUGUUAUUCCCAACUAUAUAUAUUAGAUGACCCCACUUCCAUUUUGGCAACAAUUGUAGAGUAGAAUUUGUAAGUAAAUGACAUGUAAGUCUAGAUUUCUUAGCCAUGGGAACCUACAAUACUUUACUAUUCACCUAACUUUUACAUAUCCAUAAGUUUUCAUCUUUUCUUGGAUAAUCUUUUUUAUUCUUUUCUACAUUUCACUCAUCUAACGUUUUUAAUGCUUCACCAUUCGCAACAUCCCUAUUUUUAUUUUUAUAAUCCUAUUAAAAUUAUAUCUUAUUGUCUAAUUAUAUUGUUUUAAAUUUUCUUAAUUUUAAUUCGACUAAUAUAAACAUUUAUGAGUCAGAAAAUAUCCAUCCAUAAUACUAAAUAUAUAAAAGUUUUUAAAUAUUUCCCAAUUAAUUCAUUUCAUUCUUCCAUUUACUUGCAUUAUUACUAACCCGCUAUUUUGAACUUUGAAUAAGAUCAUGGUAGUUGAUUCUCUACCCAACAUAAACUACAAAUCGUAUAGCAUAGGCUUUGUUUCCUCUUUAAUUCUGACUCAUUCAAUCCUCAAAGUAUGAGGGGAGCUCGUAUUUUGGUCAUUCUAUUAAAAACAUAAGUAAAUUAAUUUUUAUGUAUUUUAAAACGUACAAAAUGAUCUUUUGAUUAAAAUUUUCUCUUAAAUAAUGAUAAGAAAAAUGCUAGAAUUUUUUUGGUAAACUAUAAAAAUGAUCACACAACUAUGCCUUUUGUUCUAUUUCAAUCACUCAAUUAUUAAAUUUUUUUAUUUAGUCAUUAAAAUUUUUGAAAUUAAUUGUUUUAGUCACUGUAAGAUGAUAUGGGCAUUUUUUAUUAGCCCAGUAACAAAAUUAACCCUCUAAUGUAAAUUACACAUUCUAUCAAUUUGAUCCUAAAUAUAAAAAAUGCAACAAAUUUAGCCCUCAGUGUUUACAAAAUUUUUCAUUUUAGUUCUAAUUCUAAAAAAAUUAAUAAAAUGUUUCCUCAAUAUUUAAAAAAGUUAUCAAUUUAGUCCUAAUUUUAAAAAUUUAAAAAAAAUAUUUUUAGCCAUUUAUAACCCAUCAAAUAAUCCACAUUAAAUAUUAAAAUAAAAAAAAAUCCUUUUUCAAGUCGCUUGUAAACCAAACCAAUUAAUUUGAAAUCUAUCAGAAAUAAUUGCUAACUUGAGAUCCAAUAUUUAAUAAUUUCUUACAAAGUGAUAACAUUAAAUUGGCUAUUACUAACUUUAUAAAUACUUGGCCAAUCCGAUGGUUGUAAUUCGCUGAUCAAAUUGGGAAUCAACCACAUCCAAAAGCAUAUAAUAAUCGCUUCACCAACAAAAAUAUUAUAAGAAAAGAAUUAAAUAUGAAUUUCAUUUUUUUAAAAUUAAAACGGAAAAAGAAAAUUUGCACAUGCAACAGCUGUUGAUGAGAGAAGCUGUUUUACCUGCUUGUCAGUCUGGAUAUUAUUAUUAUUAUUUAAAAAAUUACUGUUUUUUUUUUAAUAAAACAAAAUUUCCUUCUUCUUUUUUAAUUCAAAUUGUUUGCUUGUUUGGGUUUUGUUGUUGACUUUCUUGUAGGAUUUGUAAUUAUAUAUAUUUUUCAGUUUAAGUUGACCAUUAUCUUCCACAUGAAAAUGGUAAUUACUUGUAUACUUUUAUAUUGAUUAUCGCUUCAGUCACUUUUGCAAGUAUAUCGAUUGGGGUGAUUUUGAGUUGUUGGAGCUUGAAUUUUGAAACACAUUCUGAUAUUUAAAUUAAAUGAAAAACAACGCUGAACUCAAAAUCUUAAAUUACAUGAAAGUAGAUGAAAGUUUAAUCAUUUAUUACUCAUGAUUGGUGGAGGCUGAUAUCCUUCCUAUGAUAGAGUUGCUCGUAUGGUCUUUUUGUUGAUUUCAGUAUUACCGUAAAUGCUCGUGGUUAUUAUGUUUAGGUUUAAUGAUUAUUUUUUUAAAUUUAAUAUUUUUUGUAGAAAAAAAAAUUGGGAUAUCUUGAUAUAAUAAUUGGAUAAUCAUUAAUAUCAUGUUUAUUACUUGUAUACAUUUAUUUAUUAUUUUCUUUUAUAGUCUUCAUAUUUCUUGAUUGGAAAAAAGAAGAAAAUAAAUAAAUAAAAAACAUGUAUAACACGAAUUUCUUGGUUAAUAAAAUGAUCUUGUAUGAGUGAGAUGAAAUGAGAUACUUCUGUAAGAUAUAAAUUGCUUAGAAAAAAAAAACAUUUUCCAAAUGUUUAAACAAAAUUAAAAGUAGAGGAAAAAAAAACCUUAAUUGAAGAGAUGGGCUCUUUUUAGGGAUGGAGUCAUGAAAUUUUAAAUUGUAUAUUUUUAGAAUAGUAAAAAUAUUAUUUUAUUAUUUUAAUAUCUAUAUCUUUAUAAUUUUAAAGGAUUAAAUUAAAUUUUUAUUAUUUUUAGGGGUCUAAAAUAUAAUUUUACUUUUACUAAUUUAAAUUUUUAUAAAUUUUAAAGGAGUCUAAAUAAAAAAACUUUCCUGAGGCCCUACGAAACCCUGGCUACACUUCUAAUUUCUUUUUUGAAAAAAAUAUUUAUUCAAAAUUAUUUCAAAAAUAAAUCAAAUUUUUCAAAAGAAAAGAAAAUAAGAUAUAAAUGACAUAGAAUUGCCAUGACUCGAUAUUUAAUAGUAAUAUAAAAUGGUUUAAAAUGUGAAAUUUUGAUAAAAAUUAUUCUAUAACUUCUAUUUUUAAAAAUUUGAAGUCAAACUUUAAAAAAAAAAUAAAAAAGAUAGAAAAUUUUUAUUAAUUUUUUAACUUAUAAAUAUUGCGAAUUUAGAUAUUGAUAGACGAUGUAUGUUUUAAAAUAUUAAUUUGAUUUUAGGUUCUUAUCAUUUUUUUUAUAUAAUGCCUAAAACUAUUUAUAAUCCCUUCUCAACCUUUAAAUAAGACGAUAAUAUAUUUUAGCGCAUUCAAACUCACAUUCUCCUGCAUUUAUAACAAUGCUGAUACCAAUCGAGUUAAAACUCAAUCGGCUUAAUAGAUAAUAUUUUUAAAGACAAAUUUAGAAGUAAAAAUAUUAUUAUAGUCUUUAUAUUAUAUCUCAUAUUGCAUUUUAAUUAUUCUACUAAAAAUACACAAAUCGAUUCUUGUAAGGUACAAGAAAAGUCAAAAUAGUAUUUUUAAGGUCAAAUUUGUUGUCAUGCAUUAUAUGUGAAUUACCAAUUUAACGAAAUUGAUGCUUAUGCCAAGACAGUUAGAAAACAGCAAACCACAAAGUGACAUGUGUACAAGAAAGGGCCAAAUUUUGAUGUAUCAGAUCACGUGAGAGCUCACGUUGGAUUAUGAAAUCACGUGAGGUUCUGAGCUGGGAAUCAAUAAGAAAUGUAAACAAUUUUCACCAUUUUUUCUUUUCAACAAAAACAAAUAAAAUAAAAUAAAUACUGCAAAGAAAGAAAUACGUUUUAAACAUUGACUACACAAGGACUAUCACGUGUUGUCACGUGCUUCUAGAACCGACUAUUGCCACUUUCAUUUUGAAGCACCUUCUUUCGGUCAAGCCAGUCAAAAGCUGAGAAUGGACCAUUUUUUGGAUCCUUAAAUUAUUUUUCCUAUAAAAAUAAUUAUAAAAAAUGUUAUCAUAAAAAAAAUCAAAUUAAAAAUGUUACCCAUUUUGUUAAGAUAAAAAAAAUUGUUGUUACAUAUUAAAUUUUAAUUUAAUUAGUAUAAAUAUUAUUUUAAUAUAUGAGAAUAUGAAUUUGAAUAUGUUAAAAUGUAUUAUCCUCAAACACCACCAUUAGCGUAUCUCCAACUAUCAACGUCGGUAUUCUAACACUAACAAGAUGAUAGAAUUUGACUAAUGUUAAUAGAUAUGUAAUCUAGAGAGAAAUAAUAUGUUUUGCUAUCAUAUUUUGAUUGAGAUAUUCUUUCUUAUAAUAAACUAUGUUAAUCUCAUAUAGGGUCAACAUUUUUAUUGAAAAGGUCUGUCCUUAAAUUAAAUUAAUUUCAUAAUCUGACCUCUAUAGCUAAAUGGUACAAUAGGUCUACAUAGAUUUUCUUUUUAAAAAAAAUAUUAAUUACAUGUACGAUUUUAAUCACAAAUAUAUAAAUAACAUAUAUUUAAAUAAUUAUUAUUAGACUUAACUAUUAUAAAAUACUAUUGAAUUAAUAAUUAAAAUAUAUUUAAGCUUAAAUCAAAAUAAAUUUAUAUAUGAACCACACAUAGUUAAAUUUAAAGGUUUAGAGUAAAAUAGUGAAAAUAGUUGAACAUGAGGUUUUUUUUUAUCAAUAAAGGAACUACAUAUUGUUGAAAUAACUUAAAGCAUUGUUGAAAUACAUAGCACCUUCCUGCAUAUCAAUAGUUAAAAGGGAUUAUUUAAACAGCUAGGAGGAUUCAUACAUAAAUAAAAUUAAACAUUGAAUUGAGAUGAGUCGGGUUGAAAAUUACUUCCAAGUUAAGCUAAAGCAUUGCAUUUGUCACUUAUCAUGUUUGACAGGUACGACUUUGGGGUUUGUUUGGAGGUGCGAUUGCACAGGGCUUAAGGCUAAAAGAGAUUCAAGAUUUUUUUUUUAUUUUUAGAAGUAAAAAAAAAAGUUACCAACUUUUAAGGGCCCAAAAAUAAAAUUUAGCUUUUAAAGGCUUAAAAUUUUUUUUUACCAACUUUUAAGGGAUCUAAAAAAACUUUUCUUCAAACUUUUAAGGAGUCUAAAACUCUAUUUUAUUAUUUUGCCUAAGAUGCAAAACUAUCAAGAACGGGCCUGAUGUUUGAGCAAAUUAAAAGUCAUAUUGUAAAAAAACAUCCUGCACUCAUCAAUCAAAGAAGAUGAGAUAAUGUUAAAAGUAUCCACAAGAAUAAUGGAAGUGGCAUCCACUUCUAUUUCAAGAUUGUUUAUAUUCAAAUUUCUAGCCACUAGCCGUUAAAAGAUAGUCUCUCAAGACCCAGAGUUCUGCCUUAACACUAAGUGUCUCUUAGAACAUGUCAAUUGACUCAGAGUUCUGCCUUAACACUAAGUGUCUCUUAGAACAUGUCAAUUGACUUCAAUUAUCUCGUCACCAGAAUGAUUUCUAAUGAGAGCUCUAGCCUCGGCUCUCCCAGGAUUACCCAAAGACAAACCAUCAAUAUUAAGUUUAAACUAAUCCACUGUAGGUGAUUUCUGAAAAUUUUGAAUAAAAGAAAGUAGCUCUCUCUAACUCACUGCAAUAGAAAGGGCAAAAAACUUUCUAGCCGUAAAGAAAACUCUAUCAAAAAGAUGUUCCUUAAGGUGGUCAUUUCUGAAAAUCAACACGUUUUGAAUAAGCCAAGUCUCCCAUAAGAUGAAAGCAAAAAUGACAUUCCAAGAGAUUUCAAGGUUUAAUGACCCGAACUUUGGAAGAGAGAUCUACAACAAGCCAAUCCUCCCAAUUACCUCCAGUAGAGAGGGGAUUUGGGCAGAAGAGUGAAUAGAGCACCAGGAGCUGCAAGUAACUUGACAUUCUCUUGGGCAUUUAAACGUAGGAGUCCUUUUUAUAGACUUAACUAUUUGUUAUAAGUUGAAUUCUUAUAUAAAAUUAUUUUUUUACUAAAUAUUAUAUCUUUACAUAACACAAUUAUUGGACUCACAUUUUAUUUAUUCGUUAAAUCAUUAAAAUAUAUUAUUUUAUAUUAUUUAUUUUGAAAGUAAUGCGGAAUCGAAUAAAUCAAUAUCACUAUAAACAAACAUAAUUAAUGAUUGACUUGUUUAAGCUUGAUGGCCUGCUUAAAAUUUAGAAGGGUUUAGUAAAAGAAUACUAUGCUCUAAAAAUAUACUUAGAGAAAAAAAAAAUAAGACGGCGUUUAAAAAAUGGGCUAGGAUCAAACUUGUAUAUUUAAGGACUAAGCCUGACCCAAUUUGACCCGUUUUCUAAUUUUGUAAUAUAUAAUAUAAUGAGAUUUACAAGACAAAAACCAAUAAAUCCAUAAUAAUAUAUAAUAUUAUAAUGUAAACAUUAGAAAACAAUAUUUUAAAUAAAAAAUAAAAUUAAUGUAAAUAAAAAAUAAUGGAAAUAUUUUUUAAAAAUAUAUAAAAUUAUUAUAUUUUAAAUUAAAAAUAAUAGAAAUAUAUAUUUUUUAAAUAAAAGAAUAAUUAAAAACAAUUAAUUUUUUGGGUUCAUUGUGAAAUUCAGAAUUGAUAGCCCAAUGCAACCCAUCCCACAAUCAAAUCCAAAACAGCUAAGGCUUUGUUCCUACUUUUCAGUCCAUGUUGCCAUGGAUUUUGCAUUGGGCCUGCUUUUGGGACUACACAUUAAUUAAUUUCACUCUUUAACCAUAUGCAAUUUCCCCUUAUUUUUCACGGUAAUUAUUUGGUAAAGAGACGGUGAAAAGUUUAUAAUUUAAGUAAGGUUGAAAUUUUGUGAUAGAUCUUAUUUAUUUUUAAAAAAAAAUUAAAAUAGAAUUUAAGGAUAUAUGACAAAAUCUCAAUCCUAUUUGUGGAGUUAAAAUUUUCCAUUGCCUAAAGGUGUAAAUGAGAAACAGGCACCCACAAAUUAUUAAGUGUAAAUAGAUCUGUUCAUUUUAUUUAAAAUUAUUAAGUGUCAAAUGUAAGAGUAAAUUCAAAUUUUUUAUAUUGAAAUGAUGGAAAUAAAAUUAUAAAAUUGUGAGGUAACUAAAUUUAAAAAAAAAAAUUAUAGUGAAAGGUUCAAAUUGCAUUAUUAACUUGUUGUGCAAAAAGAAAUAUAAUUUUAUUGUUUAACUAAAAGAGAAACCAACACCAUCAAAACUAGUAUAACAUUUAUAUAAAAAACCCUUCAUGUAAAAGAAUUUACAAGUUAAGCUACUUUAAUUAGUGAUGUAAAAAUAUUGUUAGUAAAAGUAAGUGUAUACAAAUAGACUUGAUUAAGGGUUGGAUUAUUCAUUCAAAUAUAAAAUUUUAUAAAAAAUUUGAAAGGAUUUAGGAAAAAAAUAUUAAGUAAAAAAAUGAGUUUGAGGAAAAAAUUAGACCUACUUAAAAUAGAUGUGGUAACUUAUUUGAUCUUCGAACUUUAUAAAAAAAGACUCAUGUUAGCUGUCCAUAUAAAUUUUCUCAUUUUUUAGCACUGGAACUUUUAUUGUUUGUCAAAUCACUCUAAAAUUGAUUGAUAAGUUAACGUUUGCUAACUUUGCAUCAACGAUUAAUUAUUUUUAAAAAAAUUAAUAAAAUAUUUUUUAAACUUUUAAAAUAAUUUUGUUUUUGUUUCCUUCAAGACUAGUGUUGUUGAUCUACUGUUGUUUUUGACUUCUGUUUGAGAUGUUGGCUUUUGAGCUCUUUUUAUGAUCAUGGUGUUGUCCUUGUGGGGGAGUAGGGUAUUGACAAAUUCAUGAUGUUUUUGUUUUGUUUUAAGCUUAGUCCAACCUGAUUCUUUUCAUACUCUUGUUUAUUAAAAUCUUUUUUUCCUGCUAUAUUUUAUGUAUAGUAGUAGAAACAUUGUAGAAGUUUAUUAGUAAGUUUAUGUUUUUGUUAUUUAAUUUUAAAAAGUUAUAAAAUAGUCACAGAAUUAUUUGAAAAUUUUCAUUUAAGUCACUAGGUUCUUAAAAUCGUUAUUGUAUGGCAUUCUUCGUUUGCACCAAUUAAAACCUCUCAUUUUCUUUCUCUUAUACAAUUUAAUUUUUUUUUUAUGAAUCAAUUUUGAACGUCACGAAUUUGUGAACUAAAAUCUAAAACAGUUUUCUUCCCCUAUCUUCGACAUUGACUGUUAGAUUAACUUGGUUCUGAGUUAUGUUCUUCUACUCAUCAAUGGGUAUUGAUCCAUUGUAUAGUCCAGUGGCUUAAGUGAAAACUUUCGAAUAGUUUAAUCGUUAUUCUGUAACCUUUUGAAGUUAGGUGACCAAAAUAUAAAUUUACUAAUAGUUUAAUGAACUUAGGUGUAAUUUACCCUAAUUUUUAUGAUAUUUUUUUACAUUAGAUAUAAAAGAAAUUUAGUAUCUCAGUUCGAGUUUAUUAAUAUUGUAUAUAUCUAUUGUAGCGACGUAAAAAAUUUUGCUCUCGGUCGCUAAUUGAGGCGAUUUAUUGGAAAUUUGAAAACAGACUUUCAAUUUUAUUAAAAAGGGAGUCGCCACCGAUUUUUUUUCUAGGUGUGAUCGGACACCUAAUAAAUCUUCUUGUUUGAAAAAAAAUUUUAUUCUCGAACAAAAAUGAAGGCCAAAUUUGGGUCUACGUGAAAAUCAGAGUAAAGUAGGGUUCGGGAGUCGGUUACGCGCAAGGAAGGUAUUAGCACCCUCGCGACGCCCAAAAUUGGUAUCUUGUAAAACACGCGUUGUCUUGAUUCUCGAAAAUACGAGUUCAACUUAAAUGUUAAUCGUGAUCCGACCAAAACACAAGAGUUUUUUAUAAUUUCGAUCUCUUUUGAGAAGGACGUUCCUUUUUAACACGAGCCGAUGAUAUUCACCCAACAUAGCGAUGAAAUCAACGACUUAAUGUUAAAUCGGCAUGUUGCCUUAUUUAUUGGAAUUAAUUUAAAGACAUGAAUGAAAAUAUUUCUAGAUAAAAAAAUAAAAGUAAAAAAAAAAACUAAAAAAAAACUAAAAUUGAUGUUGCACUAUGGUAUGAACUACUAAUGCUAAAUUCGGAACAGACAAAUAUUAAUAAAAAGUUAAGAAUAUUCGAAACAGAUAAUAUAUAAAAUAUUAACAAUAUACAUGCGAUAGUAACAGUAUAAAACAAUAAUAAUGCAUAUGGUAUUAAACAUGAUAGUAAUAGCAUUAAACACGAAAUAAAAUCAUGAAUAUAUAUAUAAACAUAUAAUAAUAAAUGAAGUAACGUAAACAUAAUAUUAAAAAUACUAAUAGUGCUAUAUAUAUACACAUAUUAAGAUAUAUACCAUAAUAGGUAUUAAUGGUGCAUUAAUAGUAUUGAAAAUAUGUAUAUAAUAUAUAAAAGGAUAACAUUGAAAAUACAUACAUAAUGCAAAGUUAAAAAUAAUAUAUGAAAUAUACAUACAUAAUAUCUAUUAAAAGAAUAUACACAUAAUAUAUAUACGCAUGUAUUAAAAAUAAUAAUGAUAUUUAAAAUUAAUUAUUAACAAUGUUACAUAAAAGUGUAUAUAUAUAUGAAUGUUAGAAUAUUUAUUGAAACCAAAACUAAUACAAAUAGUAGUAAAACUAAUAAUAUAAUAUAAUAUAAAAAUAGGUAAUUAAAAACACUAUGAUAUGAAUACGUAUAUAUAUGCAUAUAUAAAAAUACAUACCAAUAUUAAUAAUAAUAAUGAUACUAGAAAUAAUAAUGAAACACACAUAAGUAAAUAAAAUAUAAUAAUAAUACUAAAAUAAAGUAAAUAAAAAAAUACUAUAUAUGGAUAUAUACACAAUAAUAUAAAAAAAUGUGAUAUAAAAACCAUAUGUACAUAAUAAUAUGAAAAACAUAUAUAUAUAAUAUAACAUUAGAAUAUUUACAUAAUAUAUACAUAUUAGGGAUAAUAAUAAUAAUGUUAUAAAACAAUUGUUAAUAAUACUACAUGAACAUAUACAUACAUAUACAUAUUAAAGAUAUAUACAUGUAUAAUAAAACAUAUACUACUACUACUACUAAUAAUAAUAAUAAUAAUAAUAAUAAUAAGGAUAAUAUAAGAAUAUAUACAUGAAAUGGUAUAAGAAAUAUGUAACUAAUAACAUUAAAGUAUGUACAUGAUAGAUGGAAUAUAUACAAUAUAGUAUUAGAUAUAUAUAUAUACAAUAGUAUAAAGGAUGUAUAACUAAUGAUACUAAAAUAUAUGCAUAAUAAUAUACGUAAAAUAUAUACACAAUAUAGUUAUGAAAAUACAUAUAUACACAUAAUAUAGAAUUUAGAAUAUGCCUAAUAUAUUAAAAGAGUAUACAUAUAGUAUAGUAUUAAGACAAAUAAUAAAAAAACUAUUAAUAAUAAUAUAUAAUAUACGUAUAACUAUUAAGUAGAAAUAAUGAUAAUGAAAUGUUAAUAAAUAAAACUAUAAUAACCAUCACAUUAACAAUAGUGUAAUUAAUAUUUAAAUUAAGAUAAAAUGAUAAGAAAAGUAAAAAAGGACGUAAUUGAAUAGGAAAAUAAAAUUUUGAGGCAAAUUCAAAAUUAAAAUAAAAAGUAAGGGCUUAUUUGAAAUCGCGUGAGGUGUAGGGGGACCAAAAGCGCAAUAUUCCCAAGCCCUUAAAACUAUGUCGUGUCAACAAGGACUCAUUUGAAUUCUAAAAAAAUUAUGGGGUUGAUUUCAAAAGUUACAGGAACUUACUUGCAAAAUAAUGAAAACGAGGAUCCUAGCGGGCAGGGUCGGGUCGACCCGAUCCAUGAUGAAACAACGCCGUUUCAAUGCUUAAGUGCAGGGCCUAAAACGACGCCGUUCCAGACCCCUAUAAAAGUUAAAAUUUUUUGAAAGUUCAAUCAUUUAUGCGUGUUGAGGAAAAAAAGAGGGAGAGAGAAACUUAUUUUCUCUGGAUCAAAUCCAGAAUCUGGCCCGGAAGACCACCGUCGCCGUCGCAUCUCCGUCGCUGCCGGCCACCGUACACAGUGGCCGGACUUUCAAAAAAAUGUAUUUUUAGUUCUUUUUUCUUUUAUAUUUUAUGUUCUUUAUUUUUGUAUAUACAUAUGCAUGUAAUCAAAAAUAAAAAUAAAAUCUUUAUGUAUAUGUGUGUAUAUGGAUGUGCGUAUGAAAAAGAAAAAUGUUGGCUACCUUAGACUGAAUCUGCUUAUUGCUUACUUUUUUUCCUUCGAUUUGAACUGAUUUCUUUGUUCUAAAACCUGUUGUUUGUAUUGAUAAAGAAUGGCCAGCUUUUUCUUUUUUCAUUUUUUUGUAUUUUUUUAUAAACUUUUUUUUCUUUUACAAAUUUUCAUUCGUCUUUAUAGCCUAUUUGGUAUACUGUUUGUUUCCCUUUUUUGUUGUUGUUGCGUGUUUCACUUGCUGUGCAAGUGGUGGUUGAACGGUGGUGCAGAGGCUGGUAUGGGCGAUGGGACGUUGUCGGUGUUGAGGCAGUUUAGGGUUUCAAAUUUUUUUGAAACCCUAAGUCUAGAGUUGAGUCAAAAAUUGGGCUUCUUAAGUUUGGGCUAGUUUGAGCAUUGGGCUUGGGUUUAGAUUGGAUUUAGUUUGUAAUAGGUUGUUGGGGUUAUGAAACAGGUUGAGGUUUAAGUGGGCUUUGUAAAAUAGGGUUUGGGUUUCUAUUACGUUAAUGGGUAUUGGUUUAAGUGUGGGUAAAAUUGGGCUGUGGGUAUUUUGUAAAAGGGUCUAAUAUUGGCCUACAACAUCUAUAACUUAUUCUUUAGAAGUUUUAAUAAUAUAUAUUAUAUACACAGUCUACCCUUCUAAUAAGAUCAUUUUCAUGAUUCGAACUUAGGUUAUCCCUAAAUUAUUUUCAAGUGCAAUUUAUAUCUACAAUAUGCAAAAAAAAAAUUCACAUAAAUAUAAAAAAAUAUUAACUAAGUUAAAUAACCAAAUACAAAAAAAAAUUAUUUUCAAUAAAAUAAUGAAAAAUAAAACAAAAAUAUCAGAGAUAAAAAUUAAACAUUAUUAAAAGAAGUUAAUUUGUUAAAAAUAUCUCAAAAUUAAUUUUUGUUCCCUCGUUUUUGAACCUAAAAAAGUUAAUUUCUUAAAAUAUUUAGAUAUGAAUUACGCAAAUCUUCAAGAUUUUUUUUGUUUGUUGAAUCAAGAAUGAUUAAAUUUCAAAAUUAAAAAGAAAAUCGAGAAUAUUUGAAGUCAUUAUCACUAAUUUAUACAUGAGUAUAUAGAAUUGGGUUUUGAUUUUUAAUGAUUAUUUACACAUAUUUUUCGUGUAAGUUGUGUUCAUCGAAACCUUUCUUAUGCAUCCAUUUUUCAACAACUCUUAAUUUUGUUAAAUCAUGAUUUAGUUUGUUUGUGCAUAAAAAUCAUAAAUUAAUUAAGAAACCAAAUAAUAAAACAGAAGAUCAUUACACAAUAAAAUUUACUUGAAUAAACUAACAAAAAAGAAGGAGAAAUUGGAAUUGGGUUUGUGCAUAGGUCAUAUCUAAUUAAUAUGGGGUGAAUUAGCCAAUAAGAACUACUCUUAGUGGUAAACAAGGUAGGUUUGGAUUUCAUAUUAAUUCUCACCAUAUAUUCAUAUUAUUUAUUUUGUUAUGACAAUUAUAGCCUAUGAACCAAGAAAUUUGAGCUUUCAACCUUAGAAAGUAAAAUAAUUAACUAUAGAUGCGAAACUUGAAUUGAAUUACAUUUAUAAAGGCUAAUCAAUUUAGGUUUUUUUUUUUUAGAAUUUUAUUAUUAUAAAUAUAAUACAUUUACAAGUAAUAAUAUUUAAUUAAUUAUAAAAUUAAAUUAAUACAAAGCAUAAAAAAUAAUGAACAAAAAAAAAUUCAGAUCAAAUAAAGCAAGAAUUAAAUAAAAUCUACCCAUAAUAUAUAUAUAUAUAUAUAUGAAAACCGAUACAUUAGUAUUACGCAUGAUGGCCUCAAACUUAAAUAUUCAAAGAUCCAAUAUUUCUUCCUUAAAAACCACUAUUUAUUCCAUAAAAUAAUGUUUAAAUGGAUAUCGAAAAUAUUAAGUUUGACAAGAAAUUGGGUUCAAAAUCAAGUAACAGUAUUAUCAUCCAAAAGGAGAACCCACUUAAUUAUUGUACGGAUUAACUGUUAAAUGAUUUGACAUAAGUCAGUAAAAUGGAAUGUUAAAGUCAGAUUUAAUUAAAAAGUUUAGGGAUAAAUUUGAAGCUUAGUGACUAAGCAGAUUUUACUUUCCAAGAAGAAUCUGAUUUUUUUUGGAGAAGAUACAAAGGGGGUAGGCUUUCGUGUGUAGGAGGGAUUCAAAUUUCAUAAUUGUAUUGAAUUUAAACAUUUUGGACUAAAUCAGCUCAAAUUCAAUUUUCUUUUCUCCGAAUCUUAUUAUUGGUCAGGUUUACUUGAACCCCACGUAGUGAGUGUUUUGAUUUGAGUGAUUGAAAAUUUAAAUAUUAUUUUAAGGAAAAAAACAAAAUAUUAAAACGAUUUAUUUCAAUUUCUCAAAAGCUUCAUGAAAGCCUUUUUUUUUUUUAACGUUUCUUUCGUAUAAAAUAAGAUAGUUAGUGUAAAAUUACCUCAUUAUUCUCCUAAAAUAUCUUAUCAAUUUUUUUUCAUAAGUUAUUUUUUAAAUUGAUAAGGUUCUAUUCAUUGUAACAUUCUCAUACCUAACCCAAAUAUCAGGUCAAAACUCUAAGAUGUUACAUUCUCUACUACAUUCUUCACUUAUCAAUUUUUUUUUAUAAAAUUUCAAUUUAGUCUCUUUUUGUAAUAAAAGUUCAAUAUUCACUAAUUAAUCAUAUUAAAUAAAUUUUCUUUCUUAUUACACUUUAAUCACAUAAUUUAUCUUAAUAUCUUGUUUUACAUAUCAAAUUUCUAUGUAUUUCACUUCAAGGGCGAAGCCAGAAAAUUUUUUUUGAAGGGUUGGAUGAAAUUUUAAUUUUUUAUAGUUUAUAUAUUUAUAAUUUGUAAAGGAUUAAAUCAAUUUUUUAUAAUUUUAGGGGGCCAAAGUACAAUUUUACCUUUACUAAUUUAAAUUUUUUAAAAAAACUUAAGGGCCUAAAAAAUAAUUUUACAUUUUAGGGGGGCCGGGGCCCAUGCCAGCCCCCUAGCUUCGCCCUUGUUUCACUUCUAUUAUUUCAUCCACAGAUUUUCUCAAGUUUAACAAUUUAGUCCUUGUCAUCAUAAAAAUUCCAUAAUUUUACUUUUACAACACUUUAUGCAUAUUUCAUCAUCUCAUAACACAUUAAUUAAAAUUUUAUCAUGAUUUCCUUAUUCACAUAUUAAAUUGUUUCACAUUUAAACUUUUGUACAAUUUUCAAUUUAGUCCCUAUAGCCAUGUAAUUUAUUUUUCACCAUAUAAGCAUUUUAAUCAAAUAAUUCAUUAUAAUAUCUUAUUUCACGUAACAAAAUUUCAUGUACAUCACUUCUCUUGUGACGCCUCGAAUUUAGGGUUAGAAGAGUCAGGGUUUGUAGGAUAAGUCACUGGGUGUGAUGAGACUUUUAAAUAUAUUUUCGUGUUUUAAAGAUAACAUGAACUUGUUGGUUUAAUGGUAAAAUGCUUGUUAAUUUGCCUUUAAGUCUUGUCUUCGAGUCUUUCUGAGAGUUUAAAGGAAGUUAAUUUUUUUUAAUUUUAAUUUUGUUAUACGAAAAUGAUAAUUUUUGAAAAGUUAGUUUUAUUUUAUCUUAAUUUAGUUUUAUUUUAUCUUAUUUUAAUUUUUAAAUAAAAAAUAAAAAAAGAAAAAUCCCAAAAUUUUCUCUCACGUUUGCCUCACCCUCUCCUAUUCACGUCAGUUUCCUAUUCUUUCUCCCAAAUUUUCAAACUUUUGUUUUUGGCUACUGUGCUCUCCUUUUGCCAUCGUUUUUAUUUUUUAUUUUAUUCCUUUCUUUGAUUCACCAUUUCUUUAGUCUACCGAUUUUACUUAUUUGUUUUUUUUCCUCCAAAGCUUUAAUAAUUUCAAGCCACUUUAAUUGUUUCAAUAUAAUUUUUGAUUGCUGUUCCAUUGGAGUUCAUUCAAUUUUUUUUCUUUCUCUCUGUUGACGUCAAAGUUUUAUUAGAUUAGUAUUGUGGUGGCGAAUCGGUCGUUCAUUGGUGUCGAAACUCUUUUUAUUUUGAAAGCAAUGGGGAUCGACUUUUGAAAACAAAAUUGUGGAGUCGCCACCAAUCUCUUUAUUUAGGUAUGAUUGGGUCACCUACUAAAAUACUUUAUUCAUGAAAAAUCAAAAAGUGGGUUUAGGAGUCGGUUACGCUCAAAAAUUGGUACCAAAUUGAUUUGAUGCUAUCCUUAUAUCAAAAGAAAAGAUUUUUCACAGUAUGACUCCUUUUAAAAUGUUUAAAUAGUUUAAAUUAGUAGUCAAAAUUCUCUUAUUUCAAAUAUAUGCAGUUUCAUACUCAGUACGAUUGGAUACGAUCCCUUAUACCCUUAAAAUGCGAUUGAUUUUUGACUUUUGAAGACUCACAUACUAAAAUUAAAAGGUUAUCCAAAUAUUCAGUUCACCAGAAAAAUCAUACCCAGUACGAUUGAGCACGAUUUUCCGAAUUCCCCAAAUAUUGGAUAUUGCCUUAUUUCAAAUUUUUUUUGAAUGGUAGAAAAUUGGAAAUUUACUCAAAAAAUAUGUUUAUUUGUUUUAAAAUAAAUAAAAAAAUUAAUGCAUGGCAACAAAACGUAUAUAUAUAAAAAAAGGUUAAUGAAUAUGAAAUAAUAUACAAAAAGUACAACCUCACUUAAUACAUCCAACAAUUAAAUACAAUUAUUUUAUGUAUAAUGUAACAAAAAAAAUCUUUAAGCAUGGAUAAUGAACAAUUAAUAUAAAAAUAAUAUACACGAUGAUUAACAUAACACAAAAUAGAAUGAUGCACAAAAAUAUGUAUGAAACAAAAUGAUGAAUUAAUGAUUAUAUAAUAUAUAUAUAUAAGUUAACAAGUUUGCAUAAAACUUAGGAUAUAUGUUUAUUGAAAUAGUUAUUAUAAAAUACAAAGUUCAAAUCAAAUUAUAUAUGGAAUAUUUAAAACACAAAUUCAUUCCAAAAAUUGAUAAUUCACAUGAUAACUUAAAUAAUGUAUGAUGCAUAUACAAGUAAAAUUGGGUAUAAUUGUUUGUAAAAAAAAUGAAAUUAAUAAUGUAUGAAAAAACAAAGUAAAUAUUUCAGUUAUAUAGGUAACAAAAUAUAUAUAUAUAUAUAUAUAUAAAAUACAUAAGGAUAAUAUAUAAGUGUAUACAAUAAAUAAGUGGUAUGAUUUAAAAUAUGGUUCUCAAAAGAAAUAUAUUAUACACAUAAAUAACUUUAAAAUAGGAUAUAUACGUAGAAAAAUAUUUACAUAAAGUUAUAUGAAAAUAAUAACAUGUACUAUAGUAAAAAUAAUUUAAUAUGUGUUAUAUACAUGUGAAAGCAUUUUUAAAAUAAUUGAAUAUUAAAAUAAUAUAAAAUAAAAAAUGAAUUAUAAAAUUAACUUAAAAUUAGCAUAAAUUAUAUAUAUAAUCAAUAACAUAAAAAAAAACUGCAAUUAUAUAGAGCUAAAAUUACAUGUAAGAAAUAUUGCUUUGAUAAUGUAUGUAAGUUACAUAUAAGUACUAAAUAUAUGUUUAAUAAUAAUUCAAAUAAUAUACUUAAUAUGAAGAAAUAAUAAUACAUGACAAGGUAUUAUACAUAUGAUAGAUUUUUUUAUUUAAAAACUUAUGUAUAAAAUAAACACAUGUGAAAUUAGAAAAUUAUAUACAUACUAUUUUGCUCAAAAAUACUUAAAAGAAAUACUAAAUAACAUACUAGGAUAACAUAAUAAGGAGACAUAUUUCAAAAUAACAAUUUUAUAAAUACCAAGAUGGAUUUCCAAAACAAUAUCAUAUGUACAUAAAGACAUGUAAAUUAAACAUAACUUAAGAAAUAUUUUAAAUAAUUUAUGUAUAUAAAUAUAUUGACAACACUUAUUAAUAAGGUAUUAAAACAAUGUAAUAUAAAAAGAAUUUUACAACAUGCAAAACAAUGGUUAUUAUAAAAAAACUAAAAAGAAUGAUUAAUAUACAAAUAUAUGUAAAAUAUUUAAAGAAAUAAGAUACAUGAUGUAAAAAAUAAUCUACAAUAAUUAUACAAAUGUAGCAAACAAAAUUAUUUACAUGUAUUAAGGCAUACACAUAUUGAAUGUAUUCUAAAUUAACCGAUUAUACAAAUAUAAGACUCAAUUAAAAAUGCAUCAAGAUAAGAAGGAUAAUUUGUAAAUAAGAUGACCAUAAAAUAGAUCAAUGCAUAACAUGCAUAAAUAUAUAGGGACUGAUAUUGUAAAUCCUCCCAGGCCUAAAUCACAUCACUGUAUCAUGAAUUUAAAUGAAAAUGCGCUCAAAUCAGUGAGCCAAAUUGAAAAACAAAGCAAAGCAAAAAGGAUGCAGUCGAAGCCCCAUGCGAAUGCAAAGGACUUAGCGCGUAAAUUUCCCUUGCAUACAAAAUUGGCGCAGAUCCGAUUCACAAUUCGGGCCAAUGCGCAGACCAUUAUGGCCAGCAAACGCUGCCGUUUGGCUUUAUGGGUGAUUUUAAACCCUUUUUCCUUCAAACAUAACCUGAUUUUCAUUAUUUCUUAGUAGUAACAGCAGCCAUUAACCCCCAAUUGAUAGGGUUUCACUUGGCUCUAGCCGACAUGCAAAUAGCUCCAUCAAAGGCCGACGACAUGCGAUCAACGGCCAAAUCCUUGCCCACGCAAGUCGCAACCAUGGAGAUCCGGUAAGCCCCCCUUUCUCCUUCGUUUUUUUUUUUGUUUUAAAACAACCUUAAAUCAUAUUUUACUUCUUCGAAAACCAAAAAAAUAGAUAAACAAAGAUCGAAGAAAACGUUCGACCCUCCCCGAGUCUCUUCAUUCCUGAGAUGUGUGGGUUUUCAUCGGUAUCGACUUAUUUCUUAACAAAAAAAUCAUGCCAACUAAAGAGAUAAAUCAAAAGAGAAAAGAAAAGGAAAAAAAAAACACUUGAGAUCACCUUUGAUAUCUCUGAUUUUUCUAUAUUCUGUGUAUUUGCAUAAACGUAUAGUAUGCAUACAGUGUGCGUAAAAAAACAAGGUACAAACAAUGGCUAUUUAUAGCCAAAUUUACAGAAUAAAUGAAAAAUAAAAAUACAUUUUCCCUCUGUCAUUUGGCUGUAAAUUCUGUUGCUGCUUCUUCUCGUAUAUUCUUUUGCAGGUAUAAAGAAACGGCCGUACGGAGAAAGCCCCUCGUGAAAGCCGUGCGUGAGUUCGAUUGCAGCACUGGUGCAUUCUAGAAACCCUUAAGUUUCUGGCAUUUUCAAGCAAUUGGGCCUUUUGGGCCAUUUGUGAAUUGGGCUAUAAGACUGUAUAGUUUGGGUGUCCGUUUAAUUGGGUCAAAUUAUAUGUAGUUGGGCUAAGGAACUUUGGUACUUGUUUAGGCUAUGGGUUUAUUAGAAUUGGGUUUUGGGUCAUGGGUUAUUUAGUAUUUUGUAAAGGGAUUUUUUUUGGACUAUUUGGUCUUGGUCCUUAUUCAUUUAUUUGGGUUUAUUAUUUGCAAAUAAAUUAAAUGGGCCUGGGCAAAAUUGGUUGACUACAAAUGCUGUUUGGGAUCACAUUUUAAGGUGUGUUUCUUGAAUACUCGUGUUUUGUAGCAAGGGUUGUUGUGGUCCUAUGUUUAUAAAUUUUUCAGCUUUUUGCAAUUUGUAGUUUUUAGUUUUACCUUUCUUGCAAGUGUAUUGUCAGGGUUUUUUUUUUUUUGUGACUUACAAUCUGCAUUAUUAUUUUGAUAGACUUAAGGCCUAUCCGUUAGCACUCAUUCGCUCUAUAGUGUGCGAACCACAAACGAAUUGCUUUAUGUUGUUGGAGUUCUUUAUUUCUUAUGGUUUCCCACUAUUAGCUAAUUUUAGUUUUCUUUUCUUUUUAUCAUUUAUUAUAUUACAAAUUACCCAUUUACUAUUAUUAAGACAAGGAUUUUUCAUGCAUCCAAUUCUUGAUCGCUUUAGAUCCUGCAUUAGGCUUAGUUAUUAGUAAUCAGGGAAAAUUUUUUUAGGAAGAGCUAGAUGAAAUUUUAAUUUUUUAUAGUUUAUAUCUUUAUAAUUUGUAAAGAAUUAAAUUGAAUUUUUAUAAUUUUAAGGGGGCCAAAUACAAUUUUAUCUUUAUUAAUUUAAAAUUUUUAAAAAAAUUUAAGGGCCAAAAUAAUAAUUUUAUAUUUUAAGGGGGCCGGAGCCUAUGCCAGCCCCCCUGUCUUCGGCCCUGUUAGUAAUGUUGUUUCCUCAUUUUUAUUUACAGAUUAUCUUUGUAUUAUAUGUGGACUAAUUAUCUUUAUUGUCGCACUCAAAACUACUUCUCAUGAAUUCAUUUAUGUUUUCUUCCUUGAUGACUUGUUAUAAUAAUUUUGUAAUAUGAGAUUGAUUGAAAGUGUUAAACAAAAUUUACCUAUGUCGAUGAUUCGGCUAAUUGGUGUCGGUUAUAAAUAUGUUUGAGAGUUGUUGGUAACUGAACAUGAGAAUGUUCAAUUUUGUAUAUCUGUAUGCAUAAUACCAUUUGCAUUUACAUUUGUGAUUGGGACAUGGUUUUGAAGUGAAGGAAGUUCGUAUUAGCAGUUCCACUGCAUCUUUAUAUUUUUAACGGUGUUUCCGCAUUACUAAAAGUGGCAUAUGACCACUUCAUGGUGUGAAUUGGUUGGAAGGGUCCACCAUAACCCGAUAAUGGUGUGUAGAGGAUGGAAGGGUUUAGAAAAGACCCUAUUUUUGGUGUGUGACGGUUGGUUGGAGAUGGUGUGUAUAGGCUGGAUAGGUGGGGAUUUUGUGACCUUUUGUAUUUGAAUGUGAUUUGUGUGUCUGUUUAAGGAUAAUGUGGAAUAAUGCGUUAAAUUUGAAAAGCGUUGUGGACAAUUAUAAAUAAAGGUACGCGUUAUUCAAAUUUAUUCGAUUUACAUUUUCUCUUAGUUGUUGUUUUAAUAGUUUUGCAAUAGUCUUACAUUUAAUCAAGUACAUUAGUUUAUCCGCGAUUAAUAUUAUGCAUUAAUUUAUAUGACUUUUAUAAACAUUUUAAGUUUUAAAAAAUAUUGAUCUCACAAUCCAAAUUUCCUACCUCCGCCCUUGACAAUAUCUAUCCUACGGUUAGGAUGCUAGCAUUAAUCAAGUUUAUUGAUGAAAAACCUAGAAAGUUAUUUUAACAAGAAAAAAAACUCCUAAAUUAAGAAGAAUAAAUGGAAGAGAGACCAUCAAGCCAGAAACAUAGUAGACUAUAGAGGAUAAUAAAACAACUUCAACUCGAAGGUUUCAUAAAUCAUUCUUCCAAUUGCUUUAAAACUCUCUUAAGAGAUAAGGAUCAUGAUAAACAUUGUCUUCACUCUAAAUUUCUCAAUAUAACCAAUUAAAGAGUUGAAGAGUCCUAACCAAAGAUCAAUUGUUGUUUUGUCAAACAUGUUAUUCUUUAGUAGGCAAAAAAAAAAAAAAAAAGAAGAGUCAAACACGCAUGGGGCUAAAACAACUCAUGACCCAAGCGAAAAAUUUGUUCUCAUUCUAACCGAACAUGGAACGACCAGGUAAAAAAUCCCAACAAUCUCUCCAUUGACAUUUUUUAUAGAACCAUGUUUGAUUACACACUCCCCCUAUCAAUAUGUUUGUUCAUCACAUAAUCAAUUAAGCAUGCAAGAAGGUCAUAAAUAAACAAUAAUAUAUCAACACCAUCUUCUUCUUUUCUUUUUUUUUUAAAAAAAAUCACCAAUCAUCUCCUUUUGACAAAGAGAAAUGUAGCAAUCAUAACCAAGAACAAAACUUUUCAUUUGCUAAUACCAUUUUCUCCCCCUUUUUGGUAAAAUUGGCAAAAGUGCAACCAUAAGUGAAAACAAAGUAGACUAAAUUUCCAAAUCAACAUUAUUACUUCCCUUUACUCCGUUAAUCCUCUAUCGACUUCCAUCAUGUUGUUUAAAGCGGAUGAGAUCAAAUGUUACCGUAUCAACAAGAGGAGUUGUAGCUCGUGGAGCAACAAACACUUGUUCCACCAAAUCUAGUGUCCAAUACUUGAUAUAUCUUCAAUAUGAUCUCCAUCAAAUUGUAAUUUCAUGCUUCACACGAGCAUUAAUUAAAUGCUGAUAUUCAUUACUCAAAUUUCCUUGAUCUUUCCUCGCCUAAAUUUGUCUAUACUGUGGUUUCCUUGUUCCAUUCAUUGUUCUAACAUGUUUUUUUAGUUGAGUUGAACUUCUUCCAAUCGCACAUCAACUUAAAACAAUAGGGUCUGAUAUCUCCAACUUUCCCACAAUAAUGAUAUACAAUAUUUCAAAAUCCCUGCCUCAUUAUAAAAAGAAGAACUCACAUAUUUAGCUUUAACAAAAAUUCUAGGCGCGAUAGGGUCUUUACCUUUAUUUAUUGAUGUAACCAAGCCCUCUGUGGCUUGGUUUAGUUCUCAUUGAAGCCAAAUUUUCAUCCAACUUCUUAAUUUGGCCUUUAAACUUCUUCAAAACAACAUUUGCAUCCUCUAGCUCGCUCUUAGUUGCUUUCAAUGCAUUAUAUUUUAUUGACCACAAUUUUGAGUUUUUCUUUUUCGCCUUCAGGGAAAAUAAUUUCUUCCCUCAAGGAAUCAUUUAAUUGGCACAAUAUUUGCAUUUCUUUAACUUAUGGCUAUAAGCAUCCUCCAAAGAUUUCAAAGGAUCAUCAUCAACAUCUGGAUCUUCUUCAGAAUUUAUUAAAACAAGGUUUGGAACAAUAGUAGUAAAAGCAAUAUAGUUGCUCACAUUUUCAUAUACAUUAAAACUUUCUUCUUCACUCCAAGUGACUCUAAGUGACUUCUCAUUCUUUUUAGUAUUAGCACAUUUUGAUUGAAAUGAUUAAAUCCUUUUCAUUCAUAACAUUGAACAUCUUUCUUUCUCAUCCCAUUGGUAUCUAAUUUAGUUCCCUUCUAAGUGAACUUCUUCAUGCUCUUUGUAAGUAAGACUAAUUGCUUUUUUGAUCUCACCAAUAUCUUCCAUUGUCUGUUUCAUUGUUGGGACAACAUUUUGAGCAUUGAAUGUUGCGUUCUUUGGAAAACUCAUUUGAUCACGUUUCACUUCCUCCAUAUUUAACUCAAAAAUUUGGAGUGAGCCUAUUCAUUCGUCCAACUUGAGAGAGGUAAUAUCUUUAGCCUUCUCUAUUUCCGUGACUUUAAUUGUUGUUCUGUCACAAUUUGUGAUAGCAAAUUAGGUUCUUUCUGGCACUUAAUGAGCUUAUUUUUGGCAUAAUUUAGUGUUAUUUUGAUUAGUUUUACAUUUUAGUCUUCAAUGUUUAAUUUUGGUAAAAUAAGCGUUUUUACAUGUUUUUAGGUGUUUUGAUGACCCAUUAGGCCAAUUCUGGCUUAGGGUUAAUAGGCUACUUGAGUGUGCAGGAACAAAGCAAAAUAACCACAAGGAGAGAUAACAUACAAUAUUUGUUAAAGCUGAAAAAUGUUAAACGCAAAGUAACACAAAGAGCAAACUAAUGAGAGAUAAUAAAUAUUUGUUAACACAGUUUAGACACCUAUUGGCUAAAGCCCAAUCUACCUUUACAUAAAGAAGUAAUUGCAACCUUAAUACCGACCUUAAUUGUCACAAAUCACUCACCCAAAUACUUCACAAUUCAAUCAGGAAGCUCUCCAAAGAAUGCCUAAAAGAGUGUCACAAAAUAACCACAACAAAGCUGUCGACAAAGACACUAAAAAACUGCUUUCUAUGUGACACCACAAGCAACCUAUUUAUAAGCUUAUACUUGAGUCCAUCCAACAGAGUUUUGAUAAGCUUUAAACUCCUAUUUAAAAGCUGAAAUUGUCCCAUUAAUUAUCCCGAGUAUUUAUCAAAUAAAAGUACUCAUAAAUCAAUCUUCCAACUGCUCCAAAACUCUCUCAAGAGAUAAAGAUAACGGUAAAUAUUGUCAUCACUUAAAACUUUCUCAAUAUGACUAGUUAAAGAGCUGUAGAGUCUUAAGUGAAAACCAACCGUUGUUUUCUCAAACAUGACACUCCUUAGUAGGCCAAUAAAAACGUCCAACACCCAUGGGGCCGAAACAACCCACGACCCAAGUAGAAAAUUUGUUCUCAUUCUAACAGAACAUGGAACGAGCAAGUCAAAAAUCCCAACAAGAAAAAUUCAAUAGAUCAUUUAAGAAGUUGUUCAAGAAGACCAAAAGUAAUGCUGGUGGGUGUUAGCUUUGCUGUCUUAAGCUUUUGGUAAAACAAUAUUUGUGAUAAAUUUAAAUUAUUUAUUUCCUAACUCAUUUGGGAAAAAAUAUGGUUGAAAACUUUAUUAACAUUUUCAAAGACUUGCGAUAUGCUCAAAAGCAUCUUUUAAACAUGUUUUAAUUUAUUCAAAUGUUUUUGAGUCAAUAUCAAAAUGUUCUAAGGUGUUUAAAAUGUUUUAAAGAACUUUAGUAGUUAAAUCUCGAGACAUAGGACUCUAAGUCUCAAGACAAAUAAGUUAGUAGCCAAACUUUGCUCUAGGGGGUGCAAAGUAUGUUUUAAGACAUAGACUACAUGUCUAGAGACGUAAUAGUAAACUGCACGGGAUUUACUAUAUGUCUUAGAAUAUGGCAUGCAUGUCUCAAGACAUAGCCUUUCAAUGACUAUUUUUCAACCAAGUCUCAUGAUAUAUUGGCAAAUUUUGACACAUAAAUUGCAGGGACCUUUUUUUGUUUUGCUCGAAAUAAAUGCUUCCAACGAUUCUAUUUCACCCCCAACUGUCAUAAGCAUUUGCAAACUUGUUCUUUUGUAUAUAUAAUCUUCAAGAACACUUCAAGACAUAAUAUAGCAACAACUAAGCUUAAAGAUUAAGAAAAAAGUCUACAAAUCUUCACUAUUUCAUUUCUCUUAUAAAUAUUCUCUAAAAUCUUAGUGUCAAAUCUUUUACAAUUCAUAUAUCUUUGUUGUUAGAAUUAAGUGACCCGAAUCCUUAUUUAAAUAAAAUACAGUGGUAAAAUAAAAUAAAAGAAGAAUCAAUAUAUAGAAUUACAUUUCUUUUAUUUUAUUUUAGAAUAAGGUUUUUUAAACCUUAUUAAAUUCUAUCUAUUUGAUAUUGAUUAGAAUAAAGUGUUUCAGUUUUACUAGAAUAUGACUUCACAAGCCUUUAAAUAGACAUAGUCUAUUCCUGUUGUAAUAAUUUGAAUUCGACAUAGUGAAUUUUCUUCUCCUUUAUUCGUGAUUUUUUCUUGAAAAGGUUUCUAAGUAAAAAUUUAUAUAUUUUUUAUUUUAUUUUAUUUUAUUUUUUACAAAUUGGUAUCAGAGCUUCUGAGUUAUUCAUCUCGAUCACGGUAAUGACGUAUUUGAAGUAUGAAAUUCCGCUGUUGGAUCGCAACAAUAGAUUUGCAUUGUGGUAGAUUAAGAAUCAAGCAAUUCUUGUGUAGAUGGAUCUAGAGGAUGCCCUACUAGGGAUAGAUAAGAUGCCUUUAACAUUAACAGAUGAAGAGAAAGAAGCGUAAGGAUCGAAAGGCGUUAACACAAUUACAUCUGUAUUUUUCCAAUAAAAUUUUACAGGAUGUGAUGAAAGAGAAGACCGUCGCUGCAUUAUGGAAGAGACUAGAACAAAUAUGUAUGUCGAAAACUCUAACAAGCAAGUUGUAUCUGAAGCAGCGUCUUUAUGCUCAUAUUUUGGAGGAAAGUGCGUCUGUACACGAACACUUAAUAGUGUUUAAAGAAAUUCUAUCAAAUUGGGAGGCCAUGGAGGCUCAGUAUGAUAAGGAAGAUCUAGGGUUGAUUCUACUUUGUUCGUUUCCCCUGUCUUAUUCAACCUUUAGAGACACGAUUUUAUAUAGCCGCGAGUCUCUCACAGUUGAUGAGGUUUAUGAUUUUUUGACCUCGUAUGAUAAGAUGAAACAUCUUAUGGUUAAACUCGACUCUCAAGGAGAGGGUCUCAUUGUUCGUGAGAGACAAGAUCGAAAUGCUGAUGAUGAUCGUGGAAGGACACAGGAACGGAAUCAUCGCGGUAAAUCUAAAGGUAGAUCAAAGUCUUCAAACAAAUGUAAAACUUGUAACUUCUGCAAGAAGAAAGGGCACAUUAAAUCUGAGAGCUAUAAGCUACAGAACAAGAUUAAAAGGGAGGCUGCGAAUCAAAAGGAAAAGUAACCAGAAAAUUACGGUGAAGCUGAUGUUGUAGAAGACUACAGCGAUGGUGAAUUUCUAGUCGCUUCAGUCAAAAAUUCUAAAGUGAGCGAGGAGUGGAUACUUGAUUCAGGUUGCACCUUCUACAUAAGUCCCAAUCGGGAUUGGUUUACAACUUACGGAACAAUGUUUGAAGGUGGUGUUUUGAUGGGAAAUAAUGCUUCAUGUAAAAUCGUAGGUGUUGGAACAAUUAAAGUUAAGAUGUUUGAUGGAGUUGUCAGAACACUUAGUGACGUACGACAUGUUCUAGAAUUGAAAAAAAUUAAUUUCGUUGAGUGCUCUUGAUUCAAGAAGGUACAGAUACACAGCUGAAAGUGGGGUUUUAAAGAUUUCCAAAGGUUCUCUUGUUGUGAUGAAAGGGCAGAGAAAGACUGCCAAGUUAUAUGUUUUGCAAGGUUCUACUGUUAUUGGUGAUGCAGCUGUCGCUUCCUUUUCAUUGUCAGACGAUGAUAUUACUAAAAUUUGGCAUAUGCGCCUAAGGCAUAUAAGUGAGAAUGACAUGCCAGAAUUGAGCAAAAGAGGACUUCUUGAUGGGUAAGGAGUUUGCAAACUAAAUUUCUGUGAGCACUGUGUUUUUAGGAAGCAAAAGAGAGUUCGAUUCACUAGAGAAAUCCAAAACAUAAAGGGAACAUUGAAGUAUAUUCAUUCUGAUCUGUGGGGGCCAUCUAGAGUGCCUUUGAGAGGUGGAGCUAAUUAUAUGCUAACCUUUAUUGAUGAUUUUUCCAGAAAAGUUUGGGCAUUCUUCUUGAAGCAGAAAAGCGAUGUGUUUUCCGCAUUUAAGUCUUGGAAAAUUAUGAUUGAAAAACAGACGGGAAAACAAAUAAAAUAUCUCCGCACAGACAAUGGCUUAGAGUUCUGUUCUGAUGAGUUUAAUAGAUUGUGCAAAUCAGAAGGGAUCGUGAGACACUUGACAGUUCGCCAUACUCCGCAGCAAAAUGGCAUUGCAGAACGAAUGAACAGAAUGAUCAUGGAGAAAUUUCGAUAUAUGUUGUCAAAUGCCAACUUACCAAAGUCAUUUUGGACUGAAGCAGCUUCUACUACAUGUUUUUUUGAUCAACCGAUCCCCAUUCGUUGCCAUUGAAAAAAAGACUCCGCAAGAGGUAUGGUCUGGUAAUCCUGCAAAUUAUUCUGAUUUAAAGAUUUUUGGGUGUCCUGCGUAUGCUCAUGUUGAUAAUGGAAAAUUGAAACCGAGAUCCAUUAAACAUGUUUUUCUUGGUUAUAAAGCUGGUGUAAAAGGGUAUAAGUUAUGGUGUCCUGAAAAAAAAAAGUUGUGAUUAGCAGAGAUGUUGUUUUUGAUGAAACUGCUAUGUUGUCUAACUUAUCUCUUAAAGACUCUUCCAAUAAAGAAAAUCAAAAGUAGGUGGAACAUCAGAUUAAUACAGAGUCGACUCCUCAAGUCAGUACAAAAAUUGAGAAUAGAGUUGCUUCUUCACCGCAAUACUCUAUCGCCAAAAACAGAACUAGAAGAGAAAUUAAACCUCCAAAGUAGUAUGCUGAGGCUGAUCUAGUUGCUUAUGCUUUAAAUGUGGCUGAAGAUAUAGAUGCAAAUCAAGAGCCAUCUAAUUAUUCUGAGGCGGUUAGCUGUGAAGACUCAGAAAAUUGGAUGUUUGCUAUGCAAGAGGAGAUAGAAUCACUCCACAAAAACAGAAUAUGGGAUUUUGUAAAACUUCAUAUAGGUAAAAAGGCUGUUCGUUGUAAAUGGGUGUUUAAAAAGAAAGAAGAGACUCUAAGAGUUGAAGAACCCAGAUAUAAAGCAAUACUUGUUGCAAAGGGUUACAAUCAAAUUCUAGGAGUAGACUUCACAGAUGUAUUCUCCCCAGUUGUUAAGCAUAGUUCGAUUCGAGCUUUGCUUGGUAUUGUGGCCGCACAUGAUUUGGAGCUUGAGUAGUUAGAUGUAAAAACUGCACUUUUGCAUGGAUAACUUGAGGAGGAUAUUUACGUGCAACAACUAGAGGGUUUUACAGUCUUAAAAAAAGAGGACUAUGUUUGCUUCCAGAAAAAGUCCCUUUACGGUUUGAAACAGUCACCAAGACAGUGGUACAAGAAGUUUGAUUCCUUUAUGACUUCUCAUGAUUUCAAAAGAAGUAGUUUUGACAAUUGUGUUUACUUUAAGAAAAAUAGUGAUGGUUCAUUUGUGUAUCUACUUCUUUAUGUUGAUGACAUGUUGAUAGCAGCAAAAGAUAAAUGAGAGAUAAGAAAGGUCAAAACCCAACUAAGUGAAGAAUUUGAGAUGAAAGAUUUAGGACCAGCAAAGAAGAUACUUGGUAUGGAGAUUCUCAGAUAUAGAAAAGCAAGUAAAUUGUACCCAAGUUAGAAAGGGUACAUUGAGAAAGUUCUUUGCAGGCUCAAUAUGCAGAGUGCUAAGCUUGUUAGUACUCCUUUAGUAGCCCAUUUUAGACUUUCAUUGGCUUUGUCUCCAUAAUCAGAUGAUGAGAUUGAGUACAUGUCACAUGUUCCAUACUCUAGUGCAGUGGGAUCUCUCAUGUAUGCUAUGGUUUGUUCACGUCCAGAUUUAUCAUAUGCAGUCAGUGCAGUUAGCAAAUACAUGGUGAAUCUCGGUAAAGAACACUGGAAAAUUUAGUGGAUUUUAUGAUACUUACGAGGUACUACUGAUGUUUACUUACAAUUUGGAAGAACUAGAGAUGGAGUCGUUGGGUAUGUUGGUGCUACUUUUGCUGGAGACCUUGAUAGAAGAAGAUCUCUCACAUCUUAUGUCUUUACAAUCGGAGGUUGUGCAAUCAGUUGGAAAGCCACUUUGCAAACUACAGUCGCUUUGUCUACCACUGAAGCUGAGUACAUGGUGAUUACUGAGGCUUGUAAAAAAUCUAUUUGGUUGAAGGGACUUUUUAGUGAACUCAAUAAAGACCUUCAAAUCAACAUAGUAUUUUGUGAUAGUUAGAGUGUCAUCUUUCUUACAAAAGAUCAAAUGUUUCAUGAGAGAACAAAACACAUUGAUGUUCGGUAUCAUUUUGUUAGUGAUAUUAUUGCUCGUGGUGAUAUUGUUGUGAGCAAAAUUAGUACUCAUGAAAAUCCUGCAAAUAUGAUGACUAAGUCACUUUCUAUAACCAAGUUUGAGCAUUGCUUAGACUUGGUUGGUGUUUGUUGUUGAUGUUAAGCCCUUAAGGGGUUUUAUGAAAGAGGUGGAGAACUUGUUCGUUGAGAGUUCGCGAGCGAUGAAGAACUUGUUCGUUGAGAGUUCGCGAUGAAGAACUUGUUCAUUGAGAAUUCGUGUUAAGAUGGAGAUUGUUAGAAUUAAGUGACCCGAAUCCUUAUUUAAAUAAAAUAAUGUGGUAAAAUAAAAUAAAAGAAGAAUCCACCUAGAAUUACACUUCUUUUAUUUUAUUUUAGAAUAAGGUUUUUUAAACCUUAUUAAAUUCUAUCUAUUUGAUAUUGAUUAGAAUAAGGUAUUUCAGUCUUACUAGAAUAUGGCUUCACAAGCCUAUAAAUAGACAUAGUCUAUUCCUCUUGUAAUCAUUUGAAUUCGACAUAGUGAAUUUUCUUCUCCUCUGCUCGUGAUUUUUUCCCGAAAGGAUUUCCACGUAAAAAUUUGUGUGUUCUUUAUUUUAUUUUAUUUUCACAUUUAUAGUUGAAUUGUUCAUUUUUUAUUUCACCAAUUGUAACUUGGGAGGGUUUUAAUUGAGCCAUAAAAACUAAAAAAUAUUCUAGUUUAGCUAUUAAAGUUAGGAGGAAAGGUUUUGUCUAAGCCUUAAGAAAAAGAUAAUGAUGUACAUGUUAUACCUUCUCCUUAAAAGCCAUCAAUUUUAGUCGUGAAUUGGGAAAUCCUUAGAGGUGAAAAAUUACAGUAGUGAAGGUAAGCAAUUGGGGUCUAAUCACUAUAACUUCAUUUUAUCAAGCUAUUAUCCCUUGAUUUUUCCAUUUAGAAUAGUUUUUAAGAAAAUUUUCAAAAUACAAAUUCACCUUCCUCUUGGUAUAUUGGGGCCUAAUAGUGGAUGUAGUAAAAACAAAGGCAAAUUUCCAAUCACUAAACAUUGGAUGUUGCUUAAAGGGCUCACACACUUGAACAUCUAGAGGCUAAGCUCAGUUUUCUCAAUUCACAAAUCAAUUUAAUCAACAAAAGGAGGAAUACAGUCUUUCAAUACACUGCAAAUAUGAAAAGAACAUCAGUUUCGUUUUUCUUCCUUUGGUUCUUUUUGUAAAAAGAAAAAAAAGGAGAUCAGGUAAGGAAAGCAAAUUGGGAGUGAGAGCUGAAGCUGGAAUUGAUUGAGACAAUGGGAUAGUUUUGAGUCAAUAGGAGAUCACUGACCAAUUCAAGUUGUAUUUUGCUGGAGCUUGUAGGGUUCUUGUUUGUUGGUGUAAUAGGCCCAUUUCACCGGGGCCCAUUAGAAUAAAAAAAUAGAAAUUAAAAACUAAAAAUAAAACAAAAAUAAAAAAAAACACACAAACAAAAAAUCCAAAUGUCAAUGUCCUUUUACAAAUUUUACUAGCCCAAAUAAAAUUUCAAACACCCAACCCAAUUACGAAAAUAAUCCAUAACCCAAUAAGUCCUAAAACCCAAUUCUAAUUAACCCAUAUCCUAAAUCUAGCCCAAACUUGAAAGAGCCCAAAAAGGAAAAUUUUCAGCAGUCAAGAAAGCUCCUAGAAUGCACUGGAAGGGCACCAGAGGCACGGCUUCUCAUGUGAGAUCCCCGGGUCAUCUUCUCCGUACCUGCAAUAGAAUACAGUAUAUGACAGCAAUAAAAUGUAUUUUUAUUUUAUUUUUAUUCUGAAAUUUUGGCUAUAAAAGCUGAUGAUUGUACCUACAAAAAGGAGGACGCUCAUUAUACGCAUACAGAAUUUAAAAUUUUCAAAAAGGAAUUUCUAAAAGGUGAUCUUCUUUAGUUUUAAUUAUUCUCUUAUUUUUAUUUAUUUUUCCAGCAAUUAUCUUUAUCAUUUUGCAUGUAAAAACAAAAAGAAAGUCAAAUCUUACCUUGCGAAUCGGCUUUGGCCUUUGUUCACUUCGUUGAGAUUGAAAUUGAAAGGAGAAUCCAAAAGCAUUAUCCAUCAAGCCUCGAGAUGGCGCCAAUGAGAUCCCUAAUAUCUCUAAAAUACUGAGAUAAGGACGAGGGUCAGAGGCUGUUGAAUGUGUUGGUUUUCAACCUUGUUUUUUUUUUCUCUUUGAGCAAAUGAUUUGAGAUUUGAGAUAUUUUUUUUAAAAAUAAAAUAAAUUGGGUUACCAGAUUUCCUCGAGUGGACCUUCGAUGGUGAAGUCUGGUUGUUGUUCAUGCGUUAUCGACUACCAAAUAAAAUGGUGGUUCAAUGGCUGCAAAUAUGAACCAUAACAUUUUGAUUUUGGGGCUGUGCAUUUGGGUGGAUGAGUGGCUGCAUUUAAAGAAAGAAAAAGGAUAGAAGAAAGGUUCUAAAUAACCUAUUGGAAAAACGGGGUCGUCCACUAGCAAUGGAGGUCCGCGUAUUGGCCCGAAAUGUGAAUCGGAUCUGCGCCAUUUUGUAUGCAAGGGAAAUUUUCGCGCUAAGUCCUUUGCAUUCGCAUGGGGCUUCAACUGCAUCCUUUUUGCUUUGCUUUAUUUUUUAAUUUGGCUUACUGAUUUGAGCGCAUUUUCAUUUAAAUUCAUGAUACAGUGAUGUGAUUUAGGCCUGGGAGGAUUUACAAUAUCAGUCCCUAUAUAUUUAUGCAUGUUAUGCAUUGAUCUAUUUUAUGGUCAUUUUAGUUACAAAUUAUCCUUCUUAUCUUGAUGCAUUUUUAAUUGAGUUUUAUAUUUGUAUAAUCGGUUCAUUUAGAAGACAUUCAAUAUGUGUAUGCCUUGAUACAAGUUAAUAAUUUUGUUUGUUACAUUUGUAUAAUUAUUUUAGAUUGUUUUUUUUUACAUCAUGUAUUUUUGUUUUUUUUUUACAUCAUGUAUUCUAUUUCUUUAAAUAUUUUACAUAUAUUUGUAUAUUAAUCAUUUUUUUUAGUUUUUUAUAAUAAUUAUUGUUUUGCAUGUUAUAAAUUUUUUUUAUAUUACAUUGUUGUACAGGCCCAAUAUUGCCCUGGCCCAGACAAAUAAAAAAUAACAAAACCUAAAACAAUAAAAAAGAGUCCAAAAUAAUUAGCCCAUUUAUAAUAUUAAACAGCCCAAUUUACAUCAAACCCUAGCCCAAAUAACAGCCCACUUGCUUAAGGUUUUUCAGCAGCAAACCCCUGGCACCCCAGCUCUCCAUGCCACCAUGUCGGCCACCAUGCCCCUCAGCCUUGGCCACCACGCUCCACGCGUUUGACACUCCCACCAACUCCUCCAUGUGCACCCACCUGUUGAUUUCCAUCACCUGCAGAAUAAGACAAAAAAGAAAGCAAACACUAAUACAGAGGCAGACGACAGGAAGCAAUGGCAAGAAAUUUAAAAAAAUAUUGUAUUGAAAUAGCUAUAAAUGCCAGAUCUGAAUGUAAUACAGGGGAAAUUUUUUAGAGAUUUCAAAGGGAAGAAUCGGUUGUAUUUUGGGGGGAUAUAUAUUUUUUCUUCAGAGAUAAUACAAGCGGAAGAGUAAAUCAAGAAUCGGAACUAAGUUUUGAAAGGUGAUUUUUCAUUUUUUUUGGAAUUUUCUCUUGAUUUGGAUUUCGUUUGUUCUGUUCCAUUUUCAAUUUUUUUAAAAAAAACGGUUUUUAAAAAAAAAAACAAGAGAGGGAGAGAGGGGACUUACCAACGAACUCGCGACCUCGGCUCGCCGGACCUCCGAUGAGAGUGGCGCAGGCCUAAGAGAAAAUUUGAGAGCUUUCUCUCUGUUUUUCUUUAAGGAAAAUAAGAGAGAUGAUGGGUAAAUGUUUUUUUUUUGUUUUCAAAAAAAGGGUGUUCAAUGUUUUAAAAAUAAAAAAACAAAAAAGUAGGCUUCAUUUGUUUUUUUCCCCUCAAAAGUAGAGCCUGG